UCCCUCAUGCUUCUUUUGUUUUUACAUGUGACUCUUUGUGUGAAUUAAAUACCAUAUUGCAUGCCCCUUCGUUUUCAUGCUGUGACAUGUGAUGCUAGUUUUGGAAAUUGCUUUGGUUGGUAUUAUUUGUUGCCAUUUUUUGAAGAUUUGGCUACUUUACAGUUUAGAUAACUGUGUAGAUUAAGCAACAUAGUGUGCAUUUUGUUAUCAACUUAUCAUUGCUAAUAUUAUAAGUUUGUUUAUUAAAUUCACAUGUAUUAGUUCUUUUUUGUCACACUGGGGCAUGUGCAUGAGUACCUUGUUUUAUGUGUGUUUUGUAAGAUGAAAUAAUUUAUGACACUUUAUGUUGCAGCAACCAGUUUGUGAUGAAGACUGAAUAAAAGGAUUCAUUUUUCUAUGAAGUCAGUCAAAUCAUGCAGGUGGCCAAUGACAAAGAGUGUCUUGUUUGAUGGUCCGUCCUAUUUUUAUUCGAACUCAUUUGAUUUUUUCGUGAACGGUUUUUCGUUUUCGUUUUUGUUUUCGUGUUCUGUUUGUAACUUCGCCUUUUGAAUGUGAAUUUUCUUUUACAGGCAAAAUCAAGUUUGAAGAUCAAAAGGCUGCCUUUUAUGGCAGUUGCAUGUAUAGUAAUGUUGUUCGUUUUAUAUAGGACUCUAAAGUAUCAGUAUAAGCAAGAAGAGAUAGUAUGUCUUUUGUAAUGCAUCAUUAAAUGGUAUUAUAUUCUUGUACUUCAUUUGCUAUUUGCUAAUUUGAAAUUUCAUUUUUUGUUUACCAUAUACAUUUAUCAGAUUGACAAAAACUGGAGUAUCUUGAGAGAACAAGAGGUAUGUAUGCUGCUUUGACUUUUCGAACUUGGUUUCCGACUCUUCUUUCCAAAUUUGAGUUUUGAUGUACUAUUUAAGACAAAUGCUUAGCUAGUUAAUGGUAAAUGAUGGCUAUGACUGUGUUAAAAAAAUUGAUACCGCCGCCUACUCUGCAAUUCUUGCAUUAAUUUGAUGGCAUAACUUGGAUGUGUAUUCUAUAUUCACAUUGGUACUAUUGAUGCAACUUUGCAGCGAUACUCUACUCAUUUCGAAGAGUUGAAAGGCUUGCCACGAGGUAUAAUACACACUACUUCAGAUUUUGAGUUAAGGCCUUUAUGGUUGCGAUCACGAUCAAAGGUCAGCCAACAUCUUUGAAUUGUUCUUUUACAUUAUAUUUCUACUGAAACUGCUUCACCUGAGCUAAGCUAGUUAGUGAUUUUUUGGUCCUGAUUAUGUGAUAUCAGGUUAGUGUUUACACAAAGCGUAAUUUGCUGGCUGUUGCAGUUGGUAUCAAACAAAAGUAUAAUGUAGAUGCUAUGGUGCAAAAGGUAUUUUUUAUAAUUUGUUAGGUUAUGGAAAUGAUUUGAAGCAACAAUCUUUGUCUAAUUUCAUUGAUUUCAGUUUCUCACAGGAAAUUUUACAAUUAUUUUGUUCCAUUAUGAUGCCAAUGUGGAUGGAUGGCAGGAUCUUGAUUGGAGUAGCAAAGUCAUACAUAUAGCUGCUAAAAAACAAACAAAGUGGUAAGUUUGAGAAUUUUUAUCAAAUGAAUCUUCCUGUUAUAAAUGGUUUGAGUAAUCUGUUUUGUUUUUGAGCAUACUGACUUGUGUGCUUUCAUUGAAUAUACUUUUGAAUGCAUGUGUUUAUACGAUUUAUCUUUCUAAACUUAAAUAUUGAUUCCUGAGUUCUUUCCCAGGUGGUUUGCAAAAAGAUUUCUACAUCCGGAUAUAGUGUAUAUUUAUGAUUACAUCUUUCUUUGGGAUGAGGAUUUAGAGGUCGAAAAUUUUUCUCCGUCAAGGUAUGACUUUCACACUUUUGCUUCUUUUUUCUUCUAAUGUGAAGUAUAUCAUUCUGUAUUGAUUGCUAAGUAAUUUUUUCCCUUCAGAAAGGGUAGAAAAUAAGUUACUUAUUAUAUUCAUAUUCUUUAUCUUGUUUUUAUAUUCUCAUCAAAGAAAUUUUUUAUUAAUUGGGCAUCUGUUUUGCAGAUAUGUUAAGAUUGUAAGGGAAGAAGGGUUGGAGAUAUCUCAACCAGCUCUUCAUCCAAAUUCGACAGAGAUACAUCAUAGAAUUACAGUCAGAGCUAGGACCAAGAAAGUGCACAGGUAACUUUUUGUUUUAGAACACAAUAUUCUUUCUAAUCAAUGUUUGUCGGUUGUCAUACCUACACUCGAGUUUUCUUACUUAUUUGCAGACGAGUCUAUGAACGCAGAGGUAAAACUAAGUGUUCAGAUGAAAGUGAUGGGCCACCGUGCACUGGGUAAUUAAUUUCUUUCUUUGAACACGGUUGUGCUAUGUAUUUUACUAUUUUCGUAAGACGAUGUUCAAAAUAUUGUACAUUGGUGUUAUCAUCCAUCCUUUGAAUUUUGAUCAUUAGGAUGGGAUUUUAAAAUUUGUAUCUGUCAAUGUAUUGAAAAGAGAGUUUAACAAAUUAAUAACAUUUCCUUUGUGGGAAUUUAUUAUACUCUUGCUUGCAUCUUUAAUCAUGUUAUGAAUGACUUAGAAACUUUUAUAAAAUUUGGGCAGGUUUGUUGAAGGUAUGGCUCCUGUUUUCUCUCGAUCAGCAUGGUUUUGUACUUGGCAUCUUAUACAGGUAAAUUCCAUGGUUCAUAUGAAUCAUAAAAACCAUUUAGGUUCUAGGUUAAAACCCUUAUUCCAAUUAAUUUGCAUUCAUUUGAAUUUUGUUUAGGUUGAUUUUCAUACGAAGUUUAAUCUUAUCUCCUUUAAAUUUAAUAUUAUUUUUAUAUUGGGACCGAUAAUAGAUCAAAAUAAUCCAUAAUUUUGAUAAUUCAUCAUUUUCAUUUUCUCAGAAUGACCUUGUCCAUGGAUGGGGAAUGGAUAUGAAACUAGGAUACUGUGCUCAGGUGAGAAUUACAUAAUUUCUGUUAACUCAUCAUCAUAACAUUUGACGGUCCUUGGAGUGCAUUGUGUUUUCCAUUUAGCAUCUCAACAAUUGAUUGUGUAUGUUGAGUUUAAUUAAUGGUGAAAUCAAUGUCAUUUCAGGGAGAUCGCAGUCAGAAUGUUGGUGUUGUUGAUAGUGAAUAUGUUUUUCACAAGGCAAUUCCAACUCUUGGUGGUAGCAGUCAUUAUAUAAUCAAAGUAUUUACCUCUUUCUCUCCAAAAUCAUAAAUUUAUGUCCAAUGGUUACAAAUACCCUGUAUUCAUCCCUUCUUAUGUUUCUUGACAAAAUCCAUGGGAAUUUACCUCGGGUUUGGGGUAAUCCUCAGGAACUAUGAUGUAUUUUUUUUUUUUUGAAAAAAGAAUAUAGUUAAUCCAAAAUAUAUGAUCAUUAAUGAAUAAUAAGUGGUCCCGGCGGGGCUUGAACCCGCGACCUUCGGCUCAUAAGACCAACGCUCUAACCAACUGAGCUACGGGACCCCUUGGCAAUUGCCGCUAUAUUGUGAAAUUUAUUCCCCUUGCAGUUUUCAAUGACGUUUAGAAGAUUUAUCCCUUAUAAUCUUAGUUCAUUAACUAACCUGGCAGUCUUACAUUCACUUUCUUUUUUAUCUUGUUUCCUAAUCAGAGACGCGGCUCACCACCAGCAGUUGAUCCGAGAACUGAGGUGAGGCUUUCGAACUGCUUUCAAAACAAAAAGCUUUUAAAUGACCUUGUCUAAAAUUGUAACACAUGCUUCUGAGCAGAUAAGAAGGCAAUCAGCAUGGGAACUUAAAAUCUUCAAAGAGCGCUGGAAUCAAGCCAUCACCGAGGACAAAAGUUGGGUGAAGCCAUUUAAGAGUGAUUAAAGACGCAUACGACAAAGGCGCAACCGCUAACUGUUUUCUUAACAAUUCAUUCAAUUAACAUGGUUUGAUAUGUUAGUCUAGCUUCAUUCAUAGCCCGUGGUCUUAUAUAUAGUUAUAGGCAUAAUUUAUUUUUUGUACCCGGGCAAAUCGAUUCAUUCAAUUUUUGAAGAUCCGAUAUUUCUUAAUAUUCUUUUGUUCUUUCAUGUGGCCGAGGUUAUGUUCAUUGUCUUUUUUUUUUUUUUUUUUACACUAUACGAGUCCUCCCUCGUAUUUCCCAUUUUUUGAUAUAGUUGUCAUAUAUGUGGGCUUAGUACACUACCAUACAUCAAUGCUAAAAUGAAUAAAAUAGUGCUAUGGUUUUCAUGACCUAUGUUCAUUAACCGAACCAUGUUGCACAUGGUUUUUUAUGUGGGAUACAUGUAUAUUAAGUUGAUAUUUUCUCUUAUUUGCGAUUGUUGACUCUCUCACACAUUGAAAAGUUGUUUCUGAUUUUCAUCAUGGCCUGGUUCUAUGGCUGCUCUUGAAAAAUGAAUCAGCAAGUUGCAUUCCCUAAUAAUAAAGAGUAAAAUUUGAGAUAUCAUAACAGUAAGUAAUAAUUUGAAUUUUUGCAAUGUUAAAUGAUAUAUUUUGACCUAGAGCACUUGAAUCAGAUGUCUUGAACCCUUAAAUUGUUUGCAAUGUUAAAGCUCUUGAGAAAGAGAUUUGUUAGUCAUAGCCCUACCUACCUGGCUUGAAGGUUGUGGUGCCCAAGUUAUAAUCUUUUUAUGUGUAUAAAAAAUUAUGUAUUAGAUCAGAAAAGGAAAAAAAAUGUGAGCUCAAGCCAUGAAUAUAAUAUAGAGCUUCAUUCAAAGUUCGUUAUGAUACAUGAUGCAAUCUUAUUUCUGAUGUUAUAUAAUGUGAAGGGCAUACUUACAUCUUAAAGGACAAGAACAUAAAAUGCCGUGAAGGACAAGUUUGUGAGCCCUCUUGUCCAGGUUAGUGAUUUAUACGAAGAGAGACAGAGAACGUGCAAAUGUCUCAUUUUAUUACCUCUAAAGAAAUGACUUAACAACCCUACCAUAAACUAUUACUACAAAUUAUCUGUUUAUUUAUAUUCUGAGUCCUCGCUUUAUCCUUGGAGUUUAGUAUGAUAAUCUUAAAAUUAUGCUUAAGUUGUUUUCUUUUUACAACACCAUUUUUUGUUUAAGUUGGACAAUGCCACUAAGUGCCUAGUUAAAUUGUUUAUCAGUUCUGACCAAAAAAAAAAUAAAAAAUUGUUUAUCAGUCAUACAAAAUGUCUCAGGUUAUCUCUGAAAUACUAGUUGGAACAUGGUCAAUGUAAUAAGAUACAACAAGCAAAAUUACCAUUUAAUUUUACCAACAUAACAUUCACAUGUAGACAGACAAAUAAUUUUGAAUAAAAGUUGAAGAAAAGGGACCAAAAUUUGAAAUUUUGGCUUUACAUAAGUCACAUUUGGACAAAGUGAAAAUUAUUACCCAUUCUUCUUUUUAACGGGUAAAAUACAAUUAUUUCAAAAGAAAAUUUGAUUAUGUUUCUGUCAAAAAAAGCAAAUCUACUUUUAGGUUCAUCAUUACAUAUAUGAAUCACAAUAUCAACAUUUGUUUAAUUUUAACAUUACUAAUUUAAAAAUGUUAAAUAAAGCUAUAAAAUACUAGUACUAGUAAAUAACAAAAUAUAUAUUUUUCAAUUAAAACUUAAAAAUUGAAAACAAUUAUAUUCACAACGACAUACGACUCCGAACAUAUCAACUUAGUUUAAUCAACGUUUUGAAUAAUGGAUCAUGGAUCAGAUAUUAAACUAGCGAGACAUUUAAAUAAUGAUUCAAUUAGUUCAGCCAUGGUUAAAUUGACGACAAAUACAAGAAUAAUAAUUAAAAAGCAUUAAAAAUUAUAAAUGGAAAGGUGAAAAUAUGACCAAUUUGCGAUUCAACCUCGAUAUAAUCAUGUUUCGGUCUUUUUUUUUUCUUAAGCAAAUGGGGCAGGACACUUUAAACAAAUUGUUCAAUUUCCUUAUAAAUAUACCAAAUUUUCGUUUUACUCCCUCUAAAAAAUUUCUUCGACUUUUGUCAUUGGAUUAUGCUAACAAGCGCCUUUAGAGCACUAGUUAAGAGGUCAAAAAUAGAAAUAAAUUAUAAAUUUGAUGUAGAAAAAGUCUAUUUUAAAAGUUUCAAAGUGUUGAAUACAUAAUUUCUUAGAUACUUCAUCCGGUCACUAUUAUAAACAAACUUUGACUUUUUAGAUACAUUGAAUAAUCAAUGUAUACAUUGAUUAUUCAAUGUAUCUAAAAAGUCAAAGUUUGUUUAUAAUAGUGACCGGAAGGAGUAAACUUUAAGUGCCCUAGGGUAUUUGUUAGCAUUUCGCUUAAUCCUAUAUAAAAUUUUCAAUCACCACUUUUUGUCUCUAUUUUAAAAUCAACUCAUGUGUAGCCUUUGUAUUUUUUUAAUGAAAUUGAGCAGAUGUGUAAAAUAUUAUAAAAACCUUUCUAAAAAAAAUUAUAAUUUUUAAUUAAAUAUAAAUUAAAUAUGAAUUUUUAACCACCAAAAAUACAAAAAUGCAUAUUCAUACUAUGAUUUUUUUGAGAGAGAUUCUUAUGAUAUUAUAAACUGUUCUACAAAAUUAUAUUAAAAAAAUAUAAAUUCUAUGUAUAUGUUUACUUAAAAGAAGAUAUCAAAGUGAAGAUGGAAACCUUCUCUAAAAUUAAAAGUUGAAUUUUUUUCUAAGAGGAACUAAAAUUAAUAUAUUUACAAGGAGUAAACACAUAUUUUUCACCCAAAAAUAAAACUUGAUAAAAAAGUAUUGGAAAAAGAUUAAAAAAAUUUGAAAAACGCGUAAUUCACACACCAAUUAAUUUUUCUUUUUCAAGAACAUUAAAAAAAAAAAUAUAUAUAUAUAUAUAUAUAAUUUUGUCUGAAACUGAAAGCAGAGUCUUCUCUCUGUUUAUGUCUUUGUUGAAUUGCUGACCAAAGACAAUUCUUUUGUAUUUGUACCUGUAAUUACCUCACCACCUUCUUUUCCUUCUUUUACAACUUUCAAACUUCUUUCAAAUCUCAACUCUCCAACAUAAUUCUUUAUUUUUUUUGCUAUCCAUUUCAUUUGACUUUAUUCAUCUCUGCACCACCGCCACAGAUCUCAUGGCUGGUCGCUAUGAAAGCAACCCUUUUGAUGAAGAAGAAGUUAAUCCCUUUUCUGUAAGUUCUUCUUUUCACCUUCUUUUUCUUAAAGUUUUCAUUUUUUCAACUGGGUAUGAACUGUUUUUGUUGAUCUUGAUUUCAUCCUUUAAAGGGCUGUUUUAGACUGAAACUUUAGUUCAAUUGUUGUUUUAGUUGUUAAAUUUUGGUUGACUUGGUAGGUACUGUGGUUCAAGUGGUUGGGGAAACUGGUUUUUGAGGUUGCUUCUGUGUGUGGGUAUCUAUUUUUAGUAGUUGGUCUCUUUGAUUCUUUGUGUAGGAUUUUGUGUGUUUUAAUGUUGUUUUGUUUUGGCAUAGCCUUUAGAAUUCAGCUCAGGCUUUUAGGUUGCAUCUUUUAUAAGUCCAUGUGAUUUGCUUGUAGAUAAAGAUGCUGUAUUUUUUAGAAUUCAGCUCAGGCUUUUAGGAUUUGUGUAACUAUAACUGUAAAGUAACUGUAUUGGUUCGCAUAUUCACACUAAAUUUUGAUUUUGGUUCUUCUAUUUCAAUUUCAAAAUGAAUUUCUGUAUUGAUGAUGAUGUUGCAAUGCCCUUUUUGUUUGUUAUGGCAUGAAUUAUGAUGAAUUGAUCUUUUAUUUACUUUGCUCGUACUAGCAUCCUAAUGUUACAUCUCUCACCUUACUAGUCGGUUUUGUGGGGAUGAAGUUUAGUCCAACCCAAAUUUAGAUCAUAUUAGAGCCUAUCAAAUAGCUGUUGAAAUAUCCACUAUUGAACCACUCAUGUAACACUCUGGAUAUCCAAUCCUGGGUGCGAGGAGUGUGUGUUGACAGUCUCACAUUAGAUGUGAUACGGCUUGAAAAGGUGUAUGUAAAUGGAAGGCAUCUCUCAUUAUAAGUCGGUUUUGUAGAGCCUAAGAUAACCCCAAUCCAAAUUCUAAUAAAGCUUAUGCACUAUGAAGAGAUCACAUUUAUGAGCUUUUAUAGUUGCGUUAAGAUAUGAUCUAUUUGAAGUUAGGGGAUAAGAGUGAAUGAUUGAUGAUCUUAAAACUCAGUUGUUUGACUUCGAGAUAAGUUAUUCCCUGCUGACUUAUUUACUAUGUUUUCCUUAAUUUUGGUCUAAACUAACAGGAACCAGCUGCAAAGGGAAAAACAUCAAGCCAAUCAAACUACAGUGGUGGUGCAUUUUACACAACAGUGAGUUCAUUAAUCAAACACCAGUUAUAGUUAUUUAUGUUCAUGAAACUGAUUGCUUUUUGAUAAUUUAAAAGUCACAAGUAACAACAAUAGGUUAUGGUCAGCAGUGGAGGUAGGGCUAAAGAUUAGGACGAGUACAAUUUUUAUGCAUGUAAAUAUGAAUGGUACACAAAAAUAUUUGAGAAAGUUCUAAAUUUAUAUUCAGAAUCAUAAAAUCAUAUGAUAUUUUAAUUUUAAUGAAUGAUGAUGCAUAAAGAAGAGGUAAUACUAAUGUCAAAUAUUUCUAAAAUAUUUUUGAAUCAUUACCUAUUAUUUUGCAAAUCUUUUUAGGAUAAAUUGUUGUGACAAAAUUACCAAAAACCUUUGCUGAUUACGUUAUAACUAAACAUCACGUUAAUGAUAUUCAGAGCUUUUCCGUGAUGCUUUUUAGCUGCAUGCUUGUGAUGUUGAAUUUUUAUUAUUUUCAUAUGGGGAGAAAAAUUAAGAUGAGAUUAAAAAAGUAAUACACCCCAAUUGAAACAUUUGUGGAGUAAAAUUAUUGAGGAAGUGAAAGAAGCACUCCAUCCAGCGAUACAAUUUAACUUUAGCCAGUUUUUAUAAAUCCCACUACCUUGUAAUGAAUUAUAUCUUUUUACAAUCUGAACUCUAAGGUCUAGGUUCAUCACCAUCCAUUUUUUUUUUGUAAGAUAUGAUAUAUAGUACAUGUGUGAUGUGCUGAUAAAAAGCCUGUAAAUCAUUUUGAUCUUAUGCUUCUUGCUUCAUAUUGUUUUUAAAAUGUCAGAAUCCUGGAAGUGUUCCACCUGCCAAGAAUUCAAGGCUUUCACCUCUUGAGCCAGAGCCUGCUGAUUAUAAUAAUUAUGGCUUUGGCGCAACAGUUGAUAUACCUCUUGAUACAUCAACGGUAUGCAUAUAAUUGAGAUUGUUGAAAUCCUCAGUUUUUUUUUUUUUUCAUUUAUAAUGUAUUUGCAUGUAUUCUUGCAAGAAUUGAACUGAGGUUUUUUCUAAUUAUUAUCCAUUUCAAUAUUAGGAUUUGAAAAAGAGGGAGAAGGAACUCCAAUCCAAGGAGGCUGAUUUGAGAAGAAGGGAACAGGUAUACAAUGGGAUUCUUUGUGUCUUUCUGUUCACUUUAGGGUUGAGACUUCCCUCAGUGGAUAUUUACUGAGAUUGGAACAUUAGCACCUCUGAUGCUCUCCUCUGUUUUCAUUUCUCAUUUCCUUCCAUAUCCAUAUUUCUGUUUGAGAAGUCUUCAAUUUCUCCAUCAUAUAACAUUGAUUCUCGAUUUGAUUCUCUUGCUUUCUUUCUUGUUAACACUGAAAGACAUAUACUUUUGAGAGUUAUAAUUGGAAAAGUCAUUGAGAAAAACAUUUCCAUCUUUCUGUUUGAGAAGUCUUAAAUAGCGGGUAAUGAAUAUAUUGAUUAUAUUAGCGACCCAUUUGGUUAAUUGGCCCUAAAUUAACACACACACACUCUUAAAUAAACGCCCCUCAUUAAAUCACGCUGUCAUCUAUUUAAUGUCUAGAAUGUGCAUAUUGAUAUUCAGUUGACUUUGCCUGCAUAAGGGUUUAUCAACUUACUUCCCUGUUAAUUACAAGUAUCUAGAAAUUCACAGGCAUCUUUUAUUAUUUAUUUAUUCAUCCAAAUGCAGGAAGUGAGACGAAAAGAAGAAGCUGCUGCACGAGGUAAAUUACGUUACCCGUAUUUAUAUUUGUUCAGAAUGAUUUAGUAGUUUAUUUGGCUAUCCCUUUUCAAAUUCUAUUGUUUACAUUGCUAUUACUGUUUGGGGUGUUUUUUUUUUUUUUUUUUUCUGUUGAUAUUCAACUGAUUAGUACUGUAGAAUUUUUUAAAUGUCUUUGAAGUUUGAACCUUCUGUACAAAUUUAUUUCUGCUUAAUUCUUCUAAUAGGCAUUGACAUUUUGUUUUGCAGCUGGAAUUGUUCUUGAGGAAAAGAAUUGGCCACCAUUUUUCCCAAUUAUCCAUCACGACAUUGCUAAUGAAAUUCCGGUUCAUCUUCAAAAAUUGCAAUAUGUUGCAUUUACUACAUAUUUGGGUAUGUAAUCCUCUUUAUUGUUCUUGGUUCCAAUUAUGCCAUUGGUUCUUGAGUAUUGUGUGAGUCAUUUUAUAUCUCCGCCACUGAUUAAAAGCUGUAUCAUGCAGGACUAGUGGCAUGCCUAUUGUGGAAUGUUAUAGCUGUUACUGCUGCUUGGAUUAAGGGUGAAGGUGAGUUCAGAUAUGUAAAAGAAGGUUUUUUUUUUUUUUGGUCUAGUAGCCCAAUGGCUAGAAAUUCACCUCAUGACGUGAAUAAGUGGGGAGUUCGGGGUUCGAACCCCAACUCCUGCAUAUUACAUGCAAUGUCCCUAUCAAUUGAGCUAUGCUCAUGGGGACUAUAGAAGAAGGUUUUAUUCAGUUAUCUAACGAUCAAGUUUCGAAUCUGACAUUUCCUAAUGCCAUGCACAUGAAACAUGGCUUUGUUUGACACAGGUGUAAAAAUUUGGUUUCUGGCCAUUAUCUACUUCAUAUCAGGGGUACCUGGAGCAUAUGUUCUGUGGUAUCGUCCAUUAUAUCGUGUUUUUAGGUAAAAAAAUUGAUAUUUACUCGUGUAUUUUUAUUAAGAAAUUAUGAAACUGCAACAAGUUGGGAUUUCAAUUAUACAACUUAAGCCAUACUCUUGAUUCUAAAUAUGCUCCUUUUUCAUUGCAGGACGGAAAGUGCUUUGAAAUUUGGAUGGUUUUUCAUGCUUUAUCUGGUACAUUGUUUAUACUUCUUAAUGUGCAUAAGUUUUUUUUUUUUUUUUUGACCAAUUAAUGUGCAUAAGUUAUGCUUAAAAAAACUGAAGGAAUAUAAUCAUCUUUGUAUCUUCUUCUGCUUACAGGUUCACAUAGGAUUCUGCAUCUUAGCUGCUGUUGCUCCUCCUAUAGUUUUCAAAGGAAAAUCCCUGACGUACGUCAACUUACUCUACACACUCAAUUUAACUUGAAAAUAUUGCUUUUUCGACUACAUUUUUGUGGCAAAGAGACAACAUUUAAAUUCGAAAGAAAAUUUGUAAAUUUUGGUUUUUAAUGUGUUUGUGUUCAUCUCUUCAAGUGACUGAAGUUAUUAUCAUUUUUACAAUCUAAUUUUGGAACUGUUUAUUCACACUUAUACAGGGGUAUUCUAUCUGCCAUAGAUGUGAUAGACAACUCUACUUUGAUCGGGGUAAGAAUACUAUUUAAUUGUCAAAUUUUGUUGCACGUCUGUUUGUAAACUAAACUUCAAUAUUUAGUACUUCAAUAUUUGUUGCACGUCUGUUGGUACACAAUCUUAUUCCAAAUAUUGCAAAUGUGACCAAAGUAAACUUCUGAAUUGUUUGAUUUUCUGCAUUUGCUUGUAGAUUUUCUACUUUAUUGGAUUUGGAUUUUUCUGUCUGGAAACGUUGAUAAGCAUUUGGGUUAUUCAGGUGUGGUUACACUUUUGCUAAGUUUCCGAUUAUCUUUAAGGUCAUUCAGUCAGCAUUUAAAAGCCAUAAUUUUCUUACAAUGCAUAGCUGCUCACUUUUUCUUUGGCUGGAAUACAGCAAGUAUACAUGUACUUCCGCGGAAGUGGUAAGGCUGCUGAGAUGAAACGGGACGUUGCAAGGGGAGCAGUGAGAGCUGCAUUCUGAUGAGAAGGCAGUAUGGAUUACCUUUUCAUGGAUCAAUAUAUGUAUAUUACUAGCCACAAAUAAUGUGAAGAAAAAUAUUAUUCUGAUGGUGAUUUUCGUGUACAAGUUUUAUUUAUUUGUUCUUCUCUUGUUUAACAUGUUAGCUAUUCAUGUGGUUUGUUAGUGUACAUUAUAAGCAGAGAUUUGACUUAGCAGUGGCUGGUAGAAAAGUGCAAUAGUGAAACUCAUGUAAUUCAUAGAUAUUGUGCCAGUGGUGAUGCUUUUUCUCAAGUUUCUUUAACAGGUGUGAUCCUAGUCUUGUUAGACAUAUUUUUCAGGUCUCUUAAGUUCAGGAUUGUUGUCUCUUAAGUCACAUUGAUUUACGUCUACUUUAUUUCACAAAACUAAAUAUGAGUCUUUUUUCUUCUUUCUUAUGAUGUAGUCAGAAGUAACUGAUUAUGAACUAAAUAUGAGACCUUAUUUUGAAUAGAAUGCAACUCCUUGUCACCGACUAACAAAAGCUACAAUAAGAGUAUUAACUAAACUAAUAACUAAAAUAAAGUUAGAAAAUAAUAGAAAAACCUAUCAAUGGAAGCUAUCUGCCAACUAGUACAUACAAUUACUCCUUCCAUGUUACUACUAUAUUUGUUUCAAAGAUAAUUAAAGCAGAGGUUUUAAGAAAAUGUACACAUCUUUAGGAAUUUGUGUAUAGAUUUUAUAGUUAGAUUGUUUUCAAGUAAUUGACCAACAGCCUAUUCUUGAACAAUAGAUAUUUAUUGUGCAUAACUAAGUUUUGUCCUUGGUGGAUCCUAAGAAGUUAAAAGAAUACAAUGUAUGAGAUUAAACUCUUAUCCAGUUUUUAGGUAAAUUUAUUUAAGAGAAAUUAAACAAUUACUCAAGUUAGGAUUGAAUAAAAAGACAUUUUAUGAUCAGUAUCUUGACAUGUCAGAGAGUAGUUGAAAUUGAAAUGAUUUUUGUAGGAGUUAAGUAAAUAAAGACUAAGAGAUCCAAGGAAGAUGGCUAAAGUAGUACAAACUAAAUCUCCCUCUGCCAAAAUACAACUCAAGAUAUACAUAGAUAUCAUACUAACUUUUUUCAUGAGUGAAAAAAAUAACAGUCCAGAAUCAGACUCUUCUCAGCAAUACUGCAGUAUACCAUACUUUAUUAAACUACAUAGAUAUAAACAUUACAAAACCAUAUAUAUAAUGAAAAGCAAGUUCCAACUCAGAUCAACCCAUAUACAAUAGUAGUAGAUAUAUAUUUAUUUAUCUAAUAGUAAAAGGGUGUUGGAGAUGAUCAUAAGUUAAAACUUAAACACACAAUAUAUGUAGCUUCCCUCAACAAGAAGCAGUACAUUUCUUUUUGCAAUCAAUGGUGCAGCCACCACCUCCACCGCCACCACCGUAGCCCUUGCCGGAGCGACUGAAGGAAGUAAAACACCUUGCUGGACAGGUGACCUUCUUCUGGUAACAAGGGCCUCUGUCUUUGCAGACAACAGUUGGCCUAAUUACACCAUUUGUAGAGUGCCCUCCGUUUGGACCACCAUAUCCACCUCCAUAUCCACCUGCAUAAUUUCCCCCUCCUCCUAUGAUGUUGUUGUCAAAACCUGGUAUGCUAAAACCUCCUCCUGGUCCAAAUCCAAAGGAGCCACCAUAGUCAUUGCCACCACCAACACCAUCUUUGUUAUUGUUGUUGUUGUCAGCAGAUGGUGAAGGUUUAGUUGUUGAUGUGGAUCUGCGAGAGGACACAGAGGUAGUAACUGUUAGCAAGAUGGUGAACAAAAUAAGGAUGCUUAUCUGUUUCAUUUUUGCUUUCUUUCUUUGUUGUGUACAAACAUGAAAUGGUAGAAGAGAGUUUAUGUGUUUGGUUAAUGGAAUAUUUAAGGUAUGGAGAUAGAUAGUGGGGGGUUUAGUGGAGUGAAAAAAGGUAGCAUGUGGAGUACAGAUGGUGAAUUUAUGACCCUAUUGUUGGUUGGCUGCAAUUAUUGUAGUAUGCUGACUUAAUUCAUUACAACCACGUAUAAAGGGAAGGAGUGUUAUACUAAAACUAGUUAGUUAGUUCAAUUUCCAUUUCACUUGAAUGAGUGAUUAUUUAUGGAUGACAUGUAAAUAGGUGUUUGAUUAAGGAUAAUUAUGUUGACAUAUUUCAAUUGCAUUCUCAUGGAUUUAUUUGGGUCCAAACCAUUGUACCGCAUGAUAGGUAGGUACUCAAAAUAAAUAAGCAGUGAGCUGUAAUGAAGAAACCAAAAUGUGAUAAAAUGAGACAGAUAUUUCUAACACUUCAUAUAUAAGUAUUUGAAACAGCUUAUAAAAAUAGUUUCUGAUAGGGUUUUGUUGGUACCCUAUAAAAUUACAUCUACCCCACAAGUUAUUUGAAAUUAUGUGUGGUGUUUUAGAAAUGUGGAGAUGAGGAAAGUUGUUCUCCUAAUUUGGCUUAGGUAGGUGAUUCAAGUAGUCACAAAGAAAGAGUGACAACAUUUAAUCCAUAUUAUAUUUCGAACAGUACACAUUUCAUGCUAGCAAGCUACUAGUACAAAUACAUCAACAGUAACUGAAGUUAAAGCAGAGGCAUUAAAAUGAUGCCGUGUCAUGUAAAACAGAAAAUAAAAGCUAAAAUACAAUUCACAAGAUCAUAAUAUGAUUACAUAUAGAUUAUUUAUUAUGAAACAGUUUCAACUCAGAGGCUAGAAGAGGACCAACUAGCAUCAACAGCAUCUAUGAUCUUUUCAUGUAAUGUGGAUCCAGCACAAGCAACUAUACCACGAUCAAGUCCUCGUAAGUAUGAGCCUUUAGAGAAGUCCAAGGAACGUCCCCUAACAUCUGUUACUGUGCCUCCUGCCUCUUGUAUGAUGAUGAAACCAGCAGCAUGAUCCCAUAUUUUCUCUUUGUAACCAGUCCUUGCAAACUUCAUAAACACCUCAGCAUCCCCACAUGCUAGUGCCACAUAUUUCAUUAUGCUCUUAACUCCUAAUGGUUUAUUGCUGCAUACAACGGAUGAAUAUGAGCUUUCUUGUAAACUAAAAAACUAUAAUUCUGUUAUCGGAACUAUAUUAUUUUUGUGGCGACCUUUGGAAGUAGAAGCUCAUGGUGCUCCUCAUCAUUACGAUUGAGAAGAUGACAUGAUCAAUGUUAGUUUGAUAAAAAUAAGGAAAAACAAAUAUGAGUUAAGUUUUAGACACAUUUUUUUUUUUUUUUUUCAUCAAUUGACAUCGAUCAAGUCACUGUCUCAACUGUGAAAACGUGAAGGACCGUGAGCUUCUACUUCCAGAAGACAGCAUUUGUCACAUUGAAGAUUCAAAAGAUUUUCAAGUACCGGUUGUGGACCACCUAUCAAAGUGGUCCACCAUAGAAUUUGCUUGCAUAUUAAAUUAAUUGAUAAAGCUUCGCGGCCACAAUCUGAGCUACAAUAUCAAAUUUUUUAUGUCUCUGCGACCACGAUUGAGGUUAUAUUUGAUUGCAAUUCUUGACUGUAUCAAGGAUCGCAACACGGCUGGAAUUUAAAGCCUUGUUGACUAAAUACAAAUAGAAAACAUGGGAAUAAUCCACAUAGGAAUAAUCCCAUUUUGGAAUGUGUAAAAGCCUAUAACCACACAAUAAAGGAAUGUUUAAAAAAAGAAUGAAAUAGAAAUGCACCUGAAACCAACACUAUGAGCCAGUCCAUCAGUAAAGGAGUGACUUGAAUUAGCCUCCUCAACUGUUUGGCACAAAGUGGCCAAUCCUAGGUUGUCAACAGAAGACAAAGAAACUAGUUUUGCAUGGUUUGGCCACACAAACUUCUUAUUGGCAUGAUGGAUGAGUGGUUGGAUCCAAGCCUUGCCACUAUCCUUUUUAGCAUAAAUUACACAACCUCUAUUCCAAGUUUCAGAUGUUGGAGGAAUCAACUUGGACAUGAUCCUAUGAUAACUUUGCUGAUAACCAAGCCAGUCCUUUCUCAUAGGGUAGUUAGGACACCCAAGAACACCAACCACCACUUCUCCAUCCUCUACGAGUGAUAAAGCUACAGCAUAUUGAUCACCAUUUACAAAUCCCAAUUUACCAUCAAGAGGACUUAGUGCCCAAAAUCUUCCCGAAUGACCCCCAACUGAGUUGCAGUGACUAAUGAUUUCAAGAACCUCUGAAGUUCCAAGAGCUGAUUUUGGUGCUUCAGCUCCAAAUAAAGGUGCUUCAGAUAGACAAUCAUUCACAAUUUUUACUACAGUUUCUAGCAGUUCAGAUGCAUUAGUGUUGGAGAGAGUCUGAACCUCCUCUUCAGCUAGAAUAGAGAUAUUGUCACCCCCUAAACAUUCAGAUAAUAUCCAGCUCACAAUUGCUUUGACACUCCAACCUAUAUAUUUAGCAUAUUGACAAAGUACAGAGCAAUUCAAUUUCAGUUAGUUGUAAGUAAGAAUAUAAUUUUAUCAAAUUCACCGAUACGCAUGAUCCGGGAAGGGGUCCCACCAUUUUGGUGUAUUGUACGCACACUUACCGUGUUUUUUACACAAUAUAUUGUCUUAAACCCGCGACUUUUCAGUCACAGGACAACAACUUUACCGUUGCACAAACCUUCAUAUGAGCAAACUUAAAUACUCCAUCAAGCUUCUCAUACCAACCAACAUGGAGUCGACAAUCUAUAAUACUAAGUCUUUAUCAUUUUCCAUUUUACCAUCAUAAUUUUGUUUUUAAAACCUCUGAAGCCUUUAUAUAACAGUCACUUUUCUUGCCAAAAAGUUUUUCAUUGACUUUAAAGAUUUUAGAGUAUAAGUAUUCAUUUUGAUUAUUAGAUCCUGUUUGUAUCAGAAAAUGUUUGUUAUCCUCUUUUGUCACUUCAGAAUAAAUCCAAGAAGCCACUUGUCAUAAUUUGACUGGAUAUCAAAGCAACUUAGGCACAAGUGGCAGAAGUUGUGUUUGAUGAGAUCACUCCCUGCACUUUCAUGCAGUAGAUACCGGACAGUAGACACCCUAUACAAUAAUCAACUCAGAAUUCCAUAUAAAUCCAUAUAUGGCAGGCUAAGAUAAAAGUUUAACUCAUUAGCUUAAUAAAACAAAAAUAACUCACGCAAACAAGACAUGACAAUUUCCACAAUUAGAGAAUAUUCACCUGCCACUGUGACUGAAGAAUUACAAUCCUUGGAAAUCAAGGUUUCUUGCACUUUUUGACAUAGAGAGCAUGCCAUCUGGACUGCUCUGACAGCAACAUCCAAUUCUUUGGAAUAUUCUUCUGAUUGUGAGACAAGACCAACCAUUUGUCUGUCCUCCUCCAUCAAGGGAGAAGAAUAGUUUUGUUCGAAUUUCGACACAAAACCAAUGUGGCUUGAGAGGUUCUUAUGAUGAUUGAAGGACAAGAAGCUUGAACUUGUUUUUGCUUCUAUAUGGCUUAGUGUGAAGUAGCCACUCCUCUUUCCAUGUCUAAAUAUAUGUGAUAUGUUUGCACGGAAGAUGGAACAAUAUAAAGACAUGUAGAGUACACAACAAGUUAUUGGUUUUGUAAUAAGAGGGAAUAGAAAAUUGGGAUUGGAUUAUGAAUUACAAGAAUGACAUGGAUAAGCCUAUAAGAGUCAUUAUUUAUAGGAUUGAGUUUCAUAUCAAAAAACCAUUUUUUUCACUUCAUGUCAUUUUCAUUAGUGAGAACAAAAUGCAUUACGACAAAAAUUCUUUCUUUUUCGUUCCAAGAUUAGAAAAUGUCACUUGUACGAGUUAUUGCUUCUUGUACAAAAUAAUUAAUCUCACAAGUCACUGCUAAUAGAUGUGUUGUAGAAUAUUUGUUGAAAAACAAACAAAAAUACUAAAGAUCGUUUACUUUCAGUCAUGUACUCAUGUAUACCCUUCUUAGAUGGUGUAUCGGGCACUAGUGAUUUAUAUAAGGAUUUUUCAUUCCCCCAAACUACUUAUCUCUCACUUGCCUCAAUCUCCUAUUGAUUUGAGCGUCAUAGUGUACCGUCGAACCUCAUUUCAAAAUCUAUGUUUCUUAUUUUCAAAAAUAAAGAGUUGCUAUCAACAUUGAUGAACAAUUUUAACAUUAGAGACUAUUUUGACUAGUGUAAUGCACGAUAAAUGACUAUUUUAGAAUUUCGAUACAUUAAAAGACUAUUGUGGUUAGAUGUUACAUUUUCAUGGACCAAAAUGAUUAUUUGUCUUUUUUUUUUUUCUUUUCUUCUUUUUCUGUUGACAUAAGUACGGUAUACAUAAUUUCUCCUAAACUUGACUCGUACGUUUCAUUCAUGAAGUACAUACUUCAUCCGUUUUUGGCAGCUACGUACUUCAUUCUUGUGAACUCAUUUUCACAGCCAUUUUUGACCCGUUUUGGAACUGUUCUUUUAUAAUGCUGUUCACAUGUGUAAGAUUCAAGUCAUAAUGAGCUAAGCAUCAAUAAGAUACAUUCCAAUCUAUUUUUCAUUCAUAACAUUAAUCAUAAAUCAACCUCAUUGAUCAUUUUAUCUUGGGCUGCAAUCGGAAAAUCACCAAUUAGGAAGCCAAUUAAGUCAACAAUUAUGGCUGAUGACAAAAUUGACACCGUCCUCCACUGAAGCAUAUAGGGACACUGAGUCAAAAACUUUAUGAGUUAAUGUAUAAAAGCUUAGAUCAACUAGUGUGCCAAUGAGUUUACUCUAAAAACAAUUCGAUGUAUUUCAUGAAAAAAAAAACUUGAUGUAACUUCAAAUAUAGGUUCAAAGUAAAUGUUAUUUCUUUGUGUUGAUGUUUUAUUGAUUUAUUUCGAAUGAUAUCUUAACGGAUCUUGAAAUAUCCAAUUUGUGAUCGAUAGAUAUUGUACAACACAUGAUGAGUGUGCUUAAAUAGUGUAGUCUAUAUGUGAAUGAAAUUUGUGAUGCGUAAAAUCAUUUAAAUGUUCAUGAAAAUGUAUGGUUUUAUACUUUAUGGCUAUUCAUGAAAAAGUUGUCGGAGCCAUUGCAAGCCUACAUGAAAGGGCAUGUAGUUCCCCUAGUCAAUUUCUCUAUAAACAUUAAUGAUUACACUACUAACUCAACAAUCUUGUGAGCCAUUGCAACUUUAUCACUACAAGAAAACUGUGUUUUAACGUCGGCCAAAAGCCCACUCUAACAAGAGUAAAACGGACGCUAACAAAGAUUUAGCGUCAGGGUUGGGCAGGCUAAAAAAGUUGAAGCAGCUACCGGGUAGCAUCAACUCCCUGGCAUCCGUGGUUAAUAUAGAGUUGGUCAUGCCUAGUUAAGAUCCCACUCUAAUUGGACGCUAGUGGCGUCAGUGUCGGUGGCUGACACUAAAAAUGGAGGCUAAAUUACUAUUUUCUUGUAGUAUACAUACAUGAAAAGGCAUGUAGUUCCCCUAAACUGUUCUUGGAACAUACUAAUGAUAACACUAGUGUCUCAACGAUCUUUUGAGAGAAGCUUGAUGUCACUUUGAGCCUACCCUGUAAUUACUUGAGAGAAAAAAUGUGUGGAAGAUCUUAUUCAUUAAUCGUUCAAUAAAGACAUUCAAAAACAUCAAACAGAUCUUAACAUGGCUUCAAGACAUAAGUUUUACCGCCUCUUCUUCGUAACUUUAUAUAUGAUAUGAUAUGAUAUGAUGUCUUAAAUUUAUGCAACUAGAUUCAUGUUUAAUUGUUCAUGAGAUGAUUUCCUAUGAUUAUUAUUUAUGUUGUUGUAAUGAUGUGUAUUAUAUUUUAGAGAUAUAAUAUUUGUACAACUAUUUUUUCAAAACAUUUGUGACAAUUUUCUCCUCAUAUUCAUAUUAUGUUUUUACUUUUUAUUUCUAUUGCUUUGAUUUUUGUGUCAAUACUUCAUUUUCAUUGUAAAAUAUAGUUGUCCCAAAAGUUAUCAUAUAAAUGGUUGUUCAAAUAGCAUAACUCUAUAUUCUAAUAUUUGAUGUUAGACAGCUUCAUAAAUUUCUUACGUGAAAUCAACUUUGCUUUUUUUUUUUUUGUAGUUCCAUUUGUUCGUAUUAAUCAACUAUGAUUUAAAACUACCAACAAAAAUAAACAGGUUUUUACACUAUAAGAAGAAAAAAAAAAUCAAUUUCAAAUGAAAAUUUUUGUCGCGUGCUAGUUAAAAAUCCCCCGAACCAAAUAGUUUUUUGGACGGAAUUUACGACAAAAAAGUUUUGUGGCAAAUUAUUCGGGACAUAAAUACUUAAUCCAUCGCACAUUUGAAACGGAUUUUGGGACAGAAAAUAGUAAAUGUUCAAACGGGGGAUUAUUUCAUUAUGUCCUAAUUUUGUGACGGACAUUGUGACUUAAAGCAUUUAGUUUUUUUGAUUAUAGUUUGGGACGGAAUAAGGCAAUAUAAUCCGCCCCAACUAUUCAAUUGAUAUUUUUAAUCAAAUCUCCUUCCUCCUUUAUUUUGAAAAGAGAAAUCUUAAUGAGUGUCUCUGAGACACUCUUAAAUCAUAUAAGUGAUAAGUAUUCAAUUUUUGAAAAUCGAAAUAUUUAAUUUUUUCAAAAAUAAUUUGUAUUCGUUAAAAAGCAAAUAUUUUGGAAUGUGUCAUAAUAAUUUGUAUCAAUGAUUACAAAAUAAGAAUUGGUAAUAGUCUUAAUGUUUGGUUGCACGUCCAACCUCCUCAAACGCAAGUUUGUAGCUUUCAAACGUGAUUUCAUGAGAUUUGAAGAUGUUCGGAUCUGAGUUGAAAAGUUGAUUAUGGAGCUUAAACGCAAUUAUAUCUGAAGCAACUAUUCCUAACUUCUAUUCCUAGCUUCUGGCCAAAAUCAAUUAUUGAAAGCCCUUUGCAAAGUCUCCACUUUGCCCUUGUUUACAGUGCCUUGCUGCUUCCGUUGUUACAGAAACCCUUAUUUCUCAAUCAAUUAUCUCCACCGCAAAACCAAACUCACACUUAAUUGUAAAUAAGUUCUCAUUCAAUUUAUAAACAACAUAUUCAUUUGUCAAUACUAGGGUUAGAUAUAAAUAGUAUGCAUUGUAUCUCUAAAUAAUCCAAUAUAUACAAGUUACACCAAUACAUACAAAAGUCAUCUCAAAUUGAAUGAGAACUUAAGAAAUAAAUGCAUACUAAAUCAAUAGUUCAAUAAAGACAUUCUAGAGCAUCAAAUCAAUUUUAAGAUGACUUCAAGAAAUAAAUUUUCUCACCCCUUUAAUGUCAAAAUCAAAUCAACUUUGUUUUUUUUACUAAAUCAACUUUAAUUUAAACUACUAUGUCACUCUCAAUCUCAACUAUGAAAUUAUACACACACUUUAUAAUUAAUUACCUAUACAUAUGAUCGGUGUUUGAGUGUAAGAUUCAUGUUUAUCAUUUGAGACUCGAUUUAUUAUGAUCUUAUUCCUAUCCUAAUUGACACUGUAACUUGAUUUAACCCUCAAUUGCGUGCACGAAAGUAAGAAAAUACAAAUUGCAUGCUGCCGAAAGCUAAUCAUAAGUCAUUUCAUAUUCAUGUUGCCAUCAUAAAUAUUAGUGACAUUCCGGGAGAUAAAAAAAAAAACAAGAACAGUUUACAUAAUAACAUGAAUGCUGAUCCUAUUUUUGCUUUAGUAACAAUGAUAUUAAGUGCUUCUUACUUUUUAGAUAUGUAUACUAUGUUCUUUUAUUCCACAUGACGUGAAGAAUAUGCAAGUAUGAUCUCAUCAACUCCGCUGCUUAUUAAGAAAAAUUUGAGUCAAGAUUAAGAGAAAUUCUUAAUUAUUUAUGUUUGUUUACUAUCUAUAAAAUCACCUUUUUUAUAAAAUAAAAAUAAAAAUAACUUUUUAAUUAGUCCAUCUGUUACCUUCUUAUUUUUGAAAAAAAUAAAAAUAAAUUUUGGGAAAAACUAAUCCUAAUUGAGUUAAAAAAGUUUUUUUUUUUAGAAAUUCUAAACAAGCACUAUUAUAAUAAAAACUUAUUUUUUGAUAAACAAAAUAGAUUUUUUAGUUUUAAAAAACCUAAACCAAACGCACCUUUACUUAGACGGCGUUAAUUUUUCAGCAGUGUUUUUUUACGCAAUUUUCCAAUAUUGUUAAUGACUGAAAAUCUGAAAUUCCAUAUUUUUUUGGUUUUUGAAAUAAAUGUGGGGAGAUAUAUGGAAAAUAAUUGUGGGGGAGUAAUGCAUUAUAAGUAAAAAUCUCAUAAUGCAUUCAUAAUUUCAUGAAAAUUUCUCUAAUAACAUAUCACUUGAUCAGGCCUUACUACUAAAAUAAAUGAAAAUUGCUCUUUAGAUCCACCACAUCGCUGAUAGGCCCCCAAAAUUCUAGAAGUGUCCUUGUACAGUUACGUUUCAAAACUUACGAAAACAACUUAUGCAAUGUUCAUAAGCUCUUCUUAGUUUAUUUCCAUUAACUUGCAGGAUUGCUUAUGAAAAUAACUUAUAGCUCCUAUGAAAAUGGAUUAACUUUAAUUUAUCUUUUGUUAGAAAAAUAGCUUAUAACAAACACUUAUAUGUGAUAAGAAUUUAUGCUAUAAACCGGAAAUUAAAUUGUUUAUCCAAACAGAACCCAUAUAUGUAGGACUUGUGUCUUAGCUUUUUUUUUAUUCCUUAUUAAUAUUUUCGUUGUUACUAAUUAACCACAUUCCAAAUAUCAGAACUACGUGGUAAAAGACCAUGGAAAUGUUGCUUCAACGCGGGUUAAUAUUCACACUAUCCUCAGUCUCUAACGUUAGUAUGUGUACGUUUGUGCCAUGCUUAGGACCUAUAACUUUCUGAUUCAUUGCUUCACCAUAAUGUGGAAUUAUUGAAUACCAUAAUUAAACCAAAGCAAAAGAAAAGGUGGGAAAACCAAAUCCUUUCAAAACUUUGGAAAAGAAUCAUUAAGCAAUGUUCUAUAUAAAUUAAUGUUGUCAUAGGCUUCGAAUUAAAUAAUCACACAAGAAUAGAUUACUAAAGGCAUAGUAUCAUGAGAGGUAAAAGAAUUAAUAUAUGUUUAAAUACAAUUUUCUUAAUAUAUUUUCAUUAUUUGCAUAUUCAUAUUGAAUUUCAAUUCUAUAAAUAGGAAAAUCCAGCAAGCUAUCAACUGAAGUGCUUACAUAGAAACUGUUUUGCAUGUAUGAAUGAAUGACAAAUUUAAAAGAAUGGAUAUAGAUGAUAUUAUGAAACAAUUAUGUGCUCUUUAAUGUUGGAUAAAGUUUACAUGAAUGCUUUUUAGAAGUGUCUUCCCGUUGACCAAUGGUGAGGCACCAUGUUUACUUAUUUUGGCUGCUAGUCUUUCUCCUAAAUCCUAUCUGUUACUUUCUUUUUCAACUUUUUUCUGACUCAAUAGAAAAAGGCACAUACUAGAAAGUGAGUUGAAUCUUCUAUAAUUAACAUUCAUAGUGCCUUAUUGGAAUUACCAUGAUCUGGUUUCAUGUUAUUCACAGUUGUUACGAUAUAACUUACUUUACUUGGGGUUAAGUUCUAUAUUAUUUCUAUUUCGUAGUAUUAAUGUCAAAUUGUGUCUUUAUAAUGUGUUUGGCACAUGUAAACUAACUCACGCGGGGUAUAACACCCAAAGAACAUUAUAAAUGUGUCCUAUAUAAAAUCUCAUUGGUCUAUGACUCUGUUUCUAACAGAAAAUGUUGAAGGUUAAUCACUUUCGUCAAGAAUUUCAAAAUAGAACUACAAGCAAUAGGAGUUCCGCUCCGAAAGAAAGUAACAACAAAUCAAAAGUUGUGUUCACAACACGGUUUGAGGAUGUGUGUGCUAAAAUGAAAGCGGAAACAAAACUGGAAGUGAAAUGGCUAAAGAAUGCGGAGGAUUGCCGCUAGCAUUAAUCACGGUGGGGAGUGCCAUUAAAGUAGGCGAUGAGACGUUAAAAUGUCACACAGAGAUCUAAAACUGUCAAAGAUCCAAUACAUAGAGGGCUGUUUUGUAUUUUAAUUAGUUAGGGAGCCAAAAUCGCAACUUUUAGAAACAUAGGGGACCAAAAGUGCAAUUAAACCAAAUAUUUAUUGAUGAUUUUUUAACUUUCUCUUUAAAAUCAUAUGGACUUUGCAUUUGAGUGCAGGUGAGUUGGUGACUAUUUGUGUAGUUACUGCAAGUCAUAUGAUUUCUUUGACAACUAACUGGACUGUCUCAUUUUCAAAUACUGAGUCUACAGCAAUAGUUGAUAAAUUUUUUGAUAGUGUUUGUUGUAGUUCUUACAUCCUUUGGAGAUAUGGAAGGAUUGAUUACAUAGCAAUUUCUAAUCAAUCCUUAAUUUGUAGUCUUUUUGUCCCAUGCCUCAUCCAAAUUACAAUUUGUCCUUUGGUUCAAUUUGUCUUUUUCUUGAGAUUUUUUAUUUGGUAUUGUUUUUUUUAAUUGCUGGAUCAAUCUGAAGCAUUUUUUGGACUUAAUGUUGGAGUAUAUGUUGAUGAUUAAGCUGUAAUUCCUUGACAUCUUUGAACCUAGCAAAAAAAGUAGUUCUUUUUUCUCUAUGCUUGAUACAUGUACCAUUAUAAAUGAUAACGUGGAAGGAGGAGUCACCAAUGAAGCACUAUGACACCAACAAUGAGAUGUAAAUGAGCUAUUAUGUUUUGACUAGAUUUGGAGCUGAUGCUUGACUGCAAAUAUGUAUCUCGACUCUAUUUGGUCUUUGUUUUUCUUCUUCCAACUUACCAAUGUUUUUUUUUUUUCAAAGUUCAAAAUUGAAUGGGAAGGACUUUAUGAGAUAUAUGGCAGGAAAGUCAUUCAUAACACGUUUAAGAGUUCCUCAAACUUUUAAAUAGAGUGCCAAGAAUUGAGUCCCUAAUCUGGAAAUGCAACAUAUUUGUUUAGUUUUAGUUAGGUUCUUUAUCUUACUUUUAAAUUCAGUUUGGUCAUAAUAUAGUCUCAUUUUUUAUUCAUUUAGUCCUAAUGAUCCUUUAUUUUUUUCAAAUUGUUCUUUCACUUUUAUGACAAAUUUAAGGAUCAUGAGUUGUGAGGAUUGCAACAUCAAAAGGUAAAUUUUGUUGAACAUGUGAGGGCAGAGGUGUCUUCUUGAUAGACUACAAUGAUCUUUUGUUGAAGAUAGAUAUUGACUUUUUAUGUUUUUGGAGUUUUCAUUCUUUACUACAUGUUAAAAUUACAUGUCAACUUUAUGUAGCAAUAUCAAAAGUUACUUUAAAGAAUGGUCUGAAAAUUUUGCUAAUAGACGAAGAUGAUAUUUGCAUUGAUAGUACUUCGAAUGUAGUGUUUAAAGAAAUAUUUCAUAAAUUGUAGGCAUGAAAAACUUUGAUUGUAUUUGUGCUCAAAAUGAUGACAUUAAAAUUUGUAGUUGCAAUUGUGCUAUUCAAGAUGAAACAAUAGAUGAACUGAGUGAAAGCAAAAAAACUUCAACAAUCAGUAAGAAUAAUUCAAAGAUUGAGGUGAUUGAGGAAUCAUCCGUUAAAAUGGACAAAUUCUUCAUUCACAGAAAAAAUGAUAAAAGAUCUUAAUGUUAAAACAAAGACAAUCAUAAAACAAAUAGAAACAAUGACAGAAGAAGAAAAAGAGGUGAUUCUAACUUCAGAGAUCAAUUUGAAUUCGAACAAAACUACUUAUGAUGCUAAAAGAUUAGAAUUACAAAAAAAAUAUUUUGCAAAUCUUAAAAAGAAGAUUUGUUCGAUUAAUACGUAAAUUCUAUUCUUUUUUCAAUGAAACUUACACAACAAAUUCCAUUUUGAUAAAUAAGAUUCAUGCUCUCCUUCUUUCUAUUAAUAGUAAUUAUCUAGAAUUUGAAGAGAAAAUAGAUCAAUUUGAUAGAAUUUUUUUUGCUUUUGUCUACUACAUUUACGAUGUAUAUGAUCCGUGCGGCAACAUGGAUGGAAAGUUUAAUCUAGUAACCAAGUGUAAAAAUCUCUCCACAAGAUUGAUGCAUCCAAUUCGGCCCAAUCAUGACAAUGUCUGGAGGAGAAAAAAUCUCUCCACUUCACUAAUUAUCGUUUUAAAAGACAACAUGUCAAGAUGUCUUUGGAGAAAUAACAUUUUUUAAAAUAAUAUUGUUCAUUUUAAAGGAGCCGAAUCCAUUAUUAUAACUAAUUAACUAUACGUAGUCGUACUGAUGAACAAUUAAUUAUCGUACUGUUCGCAUGAUCAUUAACACAUCUUUUAUUAUUUUAAGAUCUAGUGCUGGGUUGAAAGAAAAAAAUAAUUUACAGAAGCAAGCACUACUCUUGACUGAAACCUAGUGCAGUUUAUCUGACCAAGAUAUUUUCAAUGUCUGUAUGCAAUGUAUAUAUGUACCAUCAAAGAUGAUAUAAAUUAAUAAAUCAAGGCGACUUCCCCACUUAUUUGGUGUCUAUUAUGAUUAAUUUAUUUUAUUGACAACAAAACACUGAAUCUGCACAUUUUGUGUCCCCAUGUUGGGUUUUAUCAACUAAAAUAUGUCUUUUUCAAAAUCAGGUGAAAGCACUAAUUAGCCAUUAAUUAAGAAUAAGAUAGAGGGAAGUGGAGCAGCCUGGUAUGUAGACAUCAUUCCUUCUAUCGAUCAAUAUCAAUGAGAUUCUACAUAUGAAAAAUAUGGAGCAGAGCCAGCACGCUACAAAACAAAAACAGUUUCGAUUUUCAAAAAUAUAAAAUAAACACAAUGGAAUUCUCAACUAUGUUAAUUAUUUGAGUUUAAUCGGUGUGUUGUUAAUGUAAACUUUAUUUAGAUGUUUAUUCAAUCGGUAUUCUAGUAAGAAAUUGAUAAUUAGUUUUAAGACACAACCAUAGAUCAAUAGAUACAAAUUAUAGCAUAUCAUUUAAUAAUAAGGGUUAAUGGUGCUUUACCCCCUGUAAUAUAAGUUAUUUUUUGUUUUCCUCUGUAAAAUAUUUUUUUUGAUUUACCUCUCUGUAAAAUUUUUUUUUUUUUGGAAUACCCCCCUAAUAGGUCAUAAAAAAACGAAAAAAUUCUGGCAAAAAAACAAUAAAGUCGUUUUUUUAUGACCUAUUAGGGGGGUAUUCCAAAAAAAAAAAAAAUUUACAGGGGGUAAAUAAAAAAAAAUAUUUUACAGGGGGGAAAAUAAAAAAUGACCUAUAUUACAGGGAGUAAAGCACCAUUAACCCUAAUAAUAAUGAUUCAAUAAGAAAUUGUGUACCUUUGAUGAUUACCCUGAUACCAUUUAGCACCAUAAUGUUCAGAAUAGUUUAACUGUCUGAUGAGAUGACGUUUAAAUAGCUAAACGGCUAAGGGCAGAGACCUCUCAUUGGGCUUAGCUAAAUGGUUCAACCCAUCACGGUCCAUUUAGAAAGAAUAGUUCAAUCACCCAUAUUCAUCAACUAAUUAGUGCUUAACACAAUAGACCAUAAUUUACAUUAUGAUAUUUACUUAUAAUAAUUGAUUAUUGUGAAUCCAUAAUUGAUUAAUUAAAUAAUUAAUCAAACAGAAAUUUCAUAUUCUUUAGAAAAGAAGAGGUUAAACAUUUUAAAAGUAGUCAUCAACUCAAUGUAUUAAGAUUAGGUUAAGAUGUGAUGUUCAACAUAUUUAUAUAAUUGUUUUUGAUCUAAUGUAGAUGAUCAUCCAAAUCUCCCUCAUAUAAUCCAACACUUUGUAAAGUUGAAAUAUCAUCUAAUAACUCUCAAUUGUGAUUAUCUUUAUGUUUCAAAAAAUUGCGUUGAGAAAUGAUCAAUAGUGCUCAAUUGUGAGUUAUUAAACUUCUCUAAGCUAAGAAACCCAUAUAUGAAAAGCAAAUCAUAAACAUAAAUGGAUAAAUUGCAAAAAAAAUAACGUGUUUGCUUAAUUAUGUGUUACAUGAAUAGUAAGUAUAUUAUUUAUAGAUAACACUAGUUCUACCAGCUAAAAUAUUGUGUUCUACGGAAUUUAGCCUUGUUCUUUGUUAAAAGUAUGUGGUGCUCUACAUUUGACUUGAUCUACCCUUCUUCAAAGUGUUCUCGGUUAUAUCUAUCCACUCAUGCUUCAUCUCUUUGGAAUGUGUCUCCAUGUAAAUAGUUGUUUUAAUUAGUAGCGCUAUAAAUAUGAAACAUGUGUAAACGUCAAGUUGUUGAGUUCCACUUAGCUUUGACAACUUCUAACACUCUCAUGACCUACGUGAACCUUUGUGGACUUGAGAAUGACUCAUAAUCGACUACUUUCUAUUUGUCUAACCUUCAAUCGAUCAAGAAAAUUUGUCCAACUCUAAUUCAAUUGUUUGUCUUUAUCGGCUAGCAACUUAUUUAUGUUUAGAAGUAAGUAUAGUCUUAUUAAAGAGUGUCUCAAAGACAUUAGUUAAAAGACUCAUGAUAAACAUAUUCAUACUAAAGAAUGUCUUAAAUAUAAUAUAUUUUUCAUAAAAUUUAUUUAUUUUUGAGGGAACAUGAGUUUAUACUAUUUACAUAUUUAUUCGUUUUAAAAAAAAAAAAAAAAAAAAGUAAAUCUUGAGAGUCAUGAAACACCGACGAAUGGUUCCUUCCUUCCUCAAAAACAAAAAAGAUUCGAUGUGUCCGUACCGUAAAACUAUGACCACACCAAGACAUAGUCAAAAGCAGUCAAAAACCAACAAAAGAACCAGUGGCAACCUUAAUAAUUUUAGCUCAAAACAAGGGUAGUUUUGACAACCUCAUUCUAUAUAUAACCAAACGUCAACACAACACAACUCAACUCACUCAACAACACAUCACAAAGAGCUCAAAUUGGCAUCUUCUUUUCUUUCUUCAAUAAGCAGAGAAAAUCACGAUGGGAGGUGCAAGAAGCAAUGGCAUGAUGAAGAGUGGAAGAAGAAGCAUCCCUCAAAGAAAUUCUAGGCGUCCAAUUCCAAAAAGAGGACAAGUCAAAGUUGGAAUAGUAGUUGGUCUAGCCAACUCUGUUGCUUCCAUUUUCUCUCGUGGCAAAACUAGUACUAGGGGGUGUCCUCAGUAACUAUGUUCGUUCACAACAAAGUUUUGAUCAUCAUUUUAGUGGAUUUUGUACAAAUUGGGGCGUUUAAUUUUUAUAAUUCCCUUGCUUUGUUAUGUUCUGUUAUGUACAAAUCUCUUGUUUUGUUUGGAAUGACUAAUGAAUGAAUCUGUUUGGUUCUUAUUUACAAAUUUCUUGUUCCUUGUUUAUAUAUGCAAGCUAGUAGUAAGUUUACAAAUACAAAAAUUAACAAGUAGUUUACUAAUUUGAACUGAUUGUUUGAAAGCAUUUGUUAAAGAUGUUACCUAAUUAAAUCAAGAUCAAGAUUUGUGACAAUUAGAACACAACUACAUUAGGUUGAUCUAGUUAAAAUUUGAACUCUAGCUUGAGGUCAACCAUGAAACGAACAACAAACUUUCACAUGGUUUGCAAUUUUUACAUUUUACUGUAAUUUAUUUAACUGACUGUGAGGUACUAUAGUACAUUUCACCCGCACGUGCCUUCCAAUUUUUUACUUCUGAUAUUUUUUCUGCUUGGUCAUAACUUAGGUAAUGUUUAUCCAAUCUAUUGCAAGUUGCAACCAUCCCCGUUUUAUAAACACAAUUAUUGUUUUUACGUAUACUAAGAAUGUAUUUAAUGUAUCAAUUUGAUCAAUCAAUGUUUCUAAUUUUUUUUUUUAUCUUCUAAAACCCUUUGUCACAUUAUUUGAUAGUACAUAUGAUUAAAAAAAAAGAUAAAUAUAUCUAAUAAUUUGAAGAAAAAAAUAUUUUAAGACAUGUUUUUCUUAAAAUGUGCUUAUAUUUUAGGACAUAAGUAGUACUUUUUUUAGUUUCUUUUGAUUUAAUUAUUUUAAAAUAAAAAAUUAUGUUAGAAGAAAUAAAUUAUCAAUUUCACCAAAACAACAGAACAAGAGAUUUGUAAACAAAAUAAAUCAUGAAAAUAUGUAAAUUUUAGUCAUAUUUUUUCAAUUAGUUGUGCUAAUUUUAUUGCUGAGUAGAUUUCUUGUAAUGUGAAAUCCUUGUUUUCUUUUUUCUGAAAGGGAAUCUUUUUAAAAAAGCAGGAUAAGGAUAAUGUUAAUGUUAAUUGCAAUGUCAAGCUGUGGUCCUUCAAAUUAAUUGCAUGACUAAGCAAAACAAAGCGACAUUAUGCAACAAGUUGUCGUAAAUAUAAUACCAAUAAUUGGUAUAACAAUGGAUUUAAUAGCUGUCACUCAUGUUUUUUGCAAUCUUGCUGGUUUUUCUAUCCUUCAAAUCUAAUAUUCUCUCAACAGAAUCCGACAUGGUUAAAACAAUGCAGUAUUUGAAAAUUAGUACGAUUGUAUUUGUACUUAGUACAUUGUAUUUGUAUCAAGGACUUGCUCUUUCUUUUUAUAGAAAAAAAAAAAAAAAAAAAAAAAGGAAGAUUCAGUGCACUGCAGUUGCUCUCUGAAUUCAAAUCUACAUAGUAGAUUUUCUCUCUUGUUAUUUUCCUCCUUUUUAAUCCUUCUUUCUCACAUUUUUCUAAAGUCUCUUUGUCGCAUUCACAUUAGUCAGUUUUCUAAAGUCUUUUUGUCGCCUUCACAUUGGUCAGUGAUGAACAUGUGCAAAAAAGUGUGUACAAAAACGAAAUUCUUAUCUUUUUCAUGUGUUCACAUUAAAUGAUUAUCAUGUGUGGUAUAACACUGAAUAGUUAAUACUACUGAUCUUAUGAUAAAUACAUCAAUUAGUAAUCAUGCCUUUAUCUAGGCAUCUCAAUAAAAUUAAAGAAAUGAUAUUUGUACAACCACUUUUUAACACUUAUAUAACUUUCAUUCUCAUACUCAUAUUAUAUUUUUACUCUCUCUUCCUUUUUCUCUCUCCAUUAUUUUUGAUUAAUGAAAAGAGAAAAAUGAGAUUGUCAUACAAAUUGUUAACAAAUAAUUGUUCAAAUAUCAUUGCACAUAAAAUUACUUCAUUCCUCUCAACAUAAGUGUUGCAAAGAAAAAAUAUUUUUAAAUAAAUUGCAUUUUUUUUAAUAUACUGUAACAUUAAUUAAUAAUUAAUUUAUCACAAAUUUAUAUUUUGUAUAUAUUUAUAUAUAAACAUGAAAGACUCUUAGUCUUAAUAAUCAUUUUUGGAGUUGUCCUCGUGACUCAGCUCAAUUGGUAUAGACAAUGUAUAGGUAUAUGCAAGGUCCGGAGUUUGAACUCGGCCACCACCAAAAAAAAAAAAACAUUUUCGGAAUUUUAUUCUCUUGAGAACAAAAAUAUUGGAGAUUUUGAACUUAAAAACUUGUGGUAAAAAUCACAUAUGUAUUUUUUUCUUUGAUAGAAAAAACUCAUUUAUCUAAUCUAAUCUAAUCUUUUUUUUUUUUCAAGUAACUUAGUGGUUGGAAAAAUUCACCUUAAAGAUAAAUAAGUGGGGUGUCUGGGAUUCGAACCUCCGACCCCUGCAUAUAUUGUGCAUUAUCCCUUACAAAAUGAGCUAAGCUCAUGGAGACUAAUCUUUUCUUUUUGUCAGGUAGCCUAAUGGCUAGAAUUCACAAGGUGAAUAAAUGGGAGUCCGGGGUUCGAACCCCGACCUCUGCAUAUAAUAAUGUAUUGUCCUACCAACUGAACUAUGUUCACGGGAUUUCAUGAAAACUAAUCUAAUCUAAUUAAUAUAAAAUUGAAAUUUUGGUAUAUAUUUGGAUAUGUAGGAAGUAGUUAUCACAGGGCAAGAUAUGAGGGGAAUUAUGGCCAAAGGAACCGAGCUGAAGUGGGUUGCAGCUGCUGGGGCUAGGAAGAGGCAUACUAUUAGUUAUAAAAUAAUUUUUUAUUUUUUUUAAAAUAAUUAGAUAUAAAAUCGUAAUCAAAGAGUACUUCCUCUAUCUCGGAUUAACUGAGUCAAAAGUUCAUUUCACACGUAUUAAGAAAAAUGUAUAAAUGAAUGAAAGAUAAAAAUAAUUUUAAGUGUAUUUGUUAAGUAUUGGUGCAUUUUCCACUAUUAUAAAUGUAAAGUGAAAUAUAUUACUACAUCCGUCCCCAAUUAUAAGACCCUUUUGAAAAAAUAAUUUGUCCCUUUUUAUAAGACUCUUUUGGUAUUUCCAAGUCCAUUAAUUAUUUCUUUACCAACAUACCCUUAUUUAUUUUGUAUUUUUUUUCUUCAACCAACAAUAAAUAUUAUAUUGAAAAUAUAAAUUAACUCUCUCUCUUAAGGAUAAAAUUGUAAAAACAAUAGUAAUUAUAUACAAAUUUAAUACUACAACCAACUUUCUUAAUCUCCGCGAUUUUGAUAAAAGACUUCUAUAUUUAGGGACGGAGGUAGUAAAUUGGAAAAUGAAAGUAAUAUUAAUUAGAGUAAUAAAGGAAAAAAUAAUUAAUAUUGUAUUGAAAAGUAAAAUAACUCAGUUAGUUUAAAACAUUUUUUUUUUUUUUUGUAAGUGGUUCAGUUAUUAUGGAACGGAUGGAGUAUUAUUUAAUUUGGUUAUAUUGAUUAAAUAAUGAUAGUGUUAGAUAGGGCCAUGAACUAAAGCAGCCAGAAAGGACACCGAAAGAGCAUGUGAUUCUCUAAAAUCAUUAACCGUUUAUGUGCCUUUAGCCUUUUACAAAAAAAAUUGAGCAAUUGGGCACGUGGUUUUAAUGCAACAAAUUAAGAUAAAGUAGAGUACUUUGCAAGCAAAGGUUUCAUUAUUCUUUUAGAAUUAACCAAUAAUUUAAUUAAUUAAUCACAUCACAUUAUACUAAACCCGCAGCCUGCUGACUGGCUUGCUGGCCUUUAAAUAUAGCCGGCAUUAGGGACCCCCACAUAUUGUCGUCUACUGAACUUGAAAUUGAAAUGCAUGAUGUAGACAUAUUCUUUUCUAUUAAAUUAGUGUAGUUGCUAAUUCUUUCCUUUGGCCAUUUAAUAUCUAUGACAGAUAUUAUUGAUGCCAUCUUGUCUUGAUAUAAUCCUAACAAACAAACAAAAUUUAAAAGUUUUUGUAAAAAAAAAAAAAAAAAAAAAGUUGUAGUGAUAUUUGGUGGGUUAAAGUGCUUGUUUGAAUCUGUAAUAUCUCUUUUAUAUGCACUUAGUAUGUUAAUUACUCCUAAAUCUUUUGGAGAAAGAAAAAGAAACGAAGAAAAUAUUUUAAAAAAAUAAGUUUUUUUAUGAGUUAAUUAAAUUUUUAGUCCUUAUAAAUAUUCAUAGUUUUGUUUUUAGUCCCUACAAAAUAAAAUCAUAUUUUUUAGUCUUGUGACAUUUUUCUUAAGCAUUUUAGGGACCAAAACUGUUGAUGAAAAUUUUUGACAGAGACUAAAAGUGCUGAUGGAAAAAUUUAUAGGGACUAAAAAUACUGAUGUAAAAUUUUAUAGGGACUAAAAAAUGUGAUUUUAUUUUGUAGGGACCAAAAACAAAACUGUGAAUAUUUAUAGGGACUAAAAUUUAAUUAAACCUUUUUUUGAUCAUGUACAAAUUUGUACACGUUAAGAAGUUCAACGUAAUAAAUUUGUAUUUAUUUUUUGGGUCUUACUAACAAGUGUCCUAAGGGUACUUGUUAAGGAAACUAAAAGUAGUAAUUUUGCAUUGAAAAUUAUAACUUUUUGACUUUUAAAAAUUUGAAUUCAACACUUUUCAACAAAUUAUAUUUAUUUAUGUUUUCUUAACCAAUGCCUCAAGGACACUUUUUAACAUUUUUUUUUUUUAAGAAAAAUGUAAGUUUAUAAAUAUCAAGCGUUAAAUUUGUCAAAAAAAAAAAAGUAUCAGAGGUUAAAAUACUAGUUAAUUUUUACUAUAUUCAAAGUUGCCAUAUAAAUAAAUGUUGAAAUAACAUAACUCUAAAAAAAUAUAAGACAACUCUAAAAAAUUACAACCAUGCAUUUGUUUACUGAAUAAUUAUUGAGUAAACAUCUUGACAAUUGAUUCGUUUUCCUUUGCUUUACGGGCCUUUGUUAAAAGGAUUUGCUCUAGUUAUCCAGUGUUGACCAUUGACUAUCUUGUUCAUAAAAUUAAAAUCCAUGCCAAUAAUUGUUUUUUUUUUUUUUUAAGGAAAUACCAAUAAUUGAUUGUUGACUUUUGGUAUGAUGUAAACAAAACAAAGUACGCUUGUAUUUAUGUUUUUAUUUAGGAUUUUGUUAACAAUUGCCCUUAAUGCAUUUGUUAAGGAUAUAAUAAUAAAAAUAAUUGAAACUUUUAUGUAUAAAAAAUUACUUUUUAAUGUUUCUAUGUGUUGAAUACAUAAAUUUCAAUAAAAGAUUUCUACUUUAAACUUCUUAUCAUGUUUAUAGGAGUACUAAUUUGUAAAUUUUUAAAGUUUAAAUUGUUUUCUGUCAAUAUUAAAAAAGUUAAGUCUAACCAUUUUAAUUACGUAUUUAAAAGAUUAAAAAUAAAACAAAGAUAUAAAAUAUUUAUUUUGUAACUCGUGUGAGUCGCUUCUUUAAUUUCUGAGCUAACAAGGGUACUUCUCUUUUUUUUAUCAGUUGUUACUUGUUUAAUUGAGUUUUAGCUUAAUCCCUUCAAUUUAGUACUUUUUCUUUUUAAUUUACUUCCUGGCUUCAUCAAAACAAAGCAAAAAAGUUAUGAGCUAACAACACAAAUGCAAACAAAAAAUACAUGUUAUUAUCAAAUAGAAUACCUGUCAUUCAAAAUAAAAAUAAAAAUAGAGUAUAUCUUAAUGCAAAUUUUCUAGUAGUGCGGAUUUUUCCAUUUUGAACUAAGAAACAAAAUAAAGACCGUUUUCUUUAAUAAAAAAACUAAGGAUAAAUGGAUUUAUGCGUGGUGUAAGGUUAGGGGUCAAUAUCAAACAAAGAGAAACAAGCACUCCAUGUAAAUGAUACUAAUAAGGUUGGAUAUAACUUACAAAGAAAAACAGUCAAAAUUGGCAACAAACGACCAAACAAUAAAACAAUUCAAAACCCACAAGUUCACGACAACAUAUUUAAUUGAGACACAAACACAAACAUAAACUAUAUUUUAUUUUUCUUUAAUAUUUGUCAAUUUUAACAUAGUUUCAUCUAUUUAAUAAUAUUCAAGAAGAUAAAUACAAACUUUACAAUCUCAAGGACAGCACUAACAAGUCUAUAUAAGUAAUGAGUAAGUGAAAGAGUGAAAUACACAAUACAUCUAGCUAAAGAGAAACCUUUUGAAUCUUGUUGUGUGUGAAACUCUAUUCCAAGAAGAUGAAGGCAAAGAUGGGAGUGGUGGUGAUAACUAGAAGGGAUUUGAUCUACCAAAGUAAGUUAUCCAACAAGAGUAAUAUUUCUAAGAGCCGUAUGAUCCCCAAGAGAGGCCAAGUGAAAGUGGGGAUUGUGUUGGGAUUGUUUCAUAAUGUCUCCUCCAUCUUCUCAUCAAGAUGUGUUCACUUAUGAAGGAAUUAAUGUUAGAGUCUUAUGUUGUACAAAAGCUACUUGUUAGUUUGUUAACAAUUGGGAGGUGCAAGGAGUAAAUGGUAUGAUGAAAGGUGGAAGAAAAAGUUUUGUUCUGUUGAUAUGUAUAAAUAUAUCUCUUGUUUAGUUUGGAAUGACUAAUGAAUUUGUUUGGUUCUUAUUUACAAAUCUCUCUUAUUCUGUUGUUUAUGCUUGCACAAUUCAAGCUAGUAUAUUUUGUGUUUAGAACCACUUGCAAUGCAUUGUCCAGAAGUGAAAAUGUACUACAUAAUCUGAAAGUUGAAGUUCAUAGCCAUUUCCUGCAUCCUGCAUCUUCACCUCCCUGUUUAUAAAAAUCAUAAGCAAAUUCAUUUUAGAACAAAAAUCUCAGCGCACCCAAAAUUCAAGUAAUUGACCCGAAAUUCAUUGUAUGGAUUUCACCCUAGGCUUUAUGCCGUUUCUGAAUAGGAUCCAAAGAAUUCACUUAGGGCCGUUUGUUUCAUGGUUACAAAUUGAAUUCCCAGAAAUCUAAGAUGGGAAUCAUUUAUUCCCAUGUUUGGUAGACAUGCACCCAAAAAUAAUCCAGGAAUGAAUUAUUCCUGGUAAUUUUCUUUUACACUAUACUGCAUUGUUUUUAUUCCCAACAAAAAGGGUGGGUUUUAUUUAUUUGAAAGACCAUUUCUACCCUCCUAAAUAACCGCAAUAUACUCACGUUUUUUGGUUACAUAUCACGUUUAUACACCAAUUUAUGUGCCACUCAUAAUUUUUUCUUCUCUGCACUAAUUUUGCCAUGGGACAGAUCAUACGACUUUUAAUAUUUGGAUGUUUAGGCGGUGCACUUUUAUUGGAGCAAUAAAUGUCACAUUGUUUUUUCUAUUAUUACAAGUCAUAUUAUAUUUUGAUUGCAUCAAUAAAAGAAAACAUAGAUGAAUUGAUGUAUGAAAUAAAAGUAUCAAAUAAUUUAUAAUUUGAAAUAAUAGAGAAAAUUGAAGACACAUCUCUAUUACCAAAUAUGAUAUAAGGGUAUUUUGAUAAUUAUAUAUAUUUUUUAAAAAUAAUUUCCAGGAACUUAAAUUUUCAACCAAACGUAGUUUUUGAACAUUCCUUGAAAUAAAGUUCACACCUUUUAUUCCUAGAAAAAGGUUAAUCCUGGUAAUAAUUUUGGUAACCAUGAAACAAACGCUCCCUUAGGACCUGCUUGAAUCCACACUUACCUAUAAGCACGAGACUUAUGCUUAAGCUAUUAAAGAAGUCAUUGCAAAAUCGACACUUACCUAUCAGCACAAGUUAAAACAAUGAUGGCAAUGCGACAAGGGUAUUCUUGCUCAAUAGCAUAUGUAUUUUGUUUUGAUAGUUUCUUUUAGUCUGGAAUUGCAAUAGUUUUUUGGUUAGUGCUUGACAGUUAACAUUUCUUAUAAAGCUUUGUUAGGUUGCUCUAGCAGAUAUUUGAAUUAUGAAUUCUCUCGUUUGGAAAGGGUUCUGUGUAUUAACUGUAUAUGAUGAUUUUGUAUAUGUUAAGAGGACUAAUCCGAGUCUGCUAUAUCUAUGUCUUGAUAUAUUUUAGUAGUACAUGGUUUCAAAUUGCCCGUAUGUAAAGUAAUUUUUUAUUUCUGUUAGUGACAUUGAUUACUUUGACCCUGUUUUUGUGCAAAUUUAAUUACAAUGCGACUGCAAUUGAAAUCCUUGCUUUAGUAUAAAACAUGAGGAGACAUUGGGAAUCAAAGUCUUGUUUAACGUGGAUCUUUGAUUGCUUAGUUGUGAAUCAAUGUUCUUUAGUUUGGCCAAGCAGAAAUCAAAGCACUGAAACAUUGUGAUUUGUGAACGACCCGGAGAAAAGGUCGUUUAAGUGGCCAUAUCUGAUUUCCAUUUUUGUUAUAUUCAAUUAAUUUCAAAUUUUCAAAAUUAGUUUCGCCUCUCAUAACAACAUUUUGUGCAAUCGUAAAACAAAACCUUCUCAAAUUUCGUAAUUAAAUCUAAGUGACACUAGAUUAAGCAAAAUAUCUAAUUGUGUAGGGCGGCGCUCUAUAGUUUAAAAUACUCUUCAUAGAGUUAAUAAAGGGAACAUAUAUGUACAUUUCUGGGAAAAAUGUUUUCCUAUCCUAUAUAAAUAGAACACUUUGAAUCACUUGGUCUUGUUUUAACCUUUUUCUACUUUACAAUGAAUCAAUAAAACAUGAAAAACAAAUUCUGGUAAAGUAUCAUAUUUAUCCAAUCCAACUUUUUUAUAUCAUCAUGAUAUGAUAUAAGUUUUAUAGUGAAUACAGAGAAAGAAAAAAAGAAUGCAUAGGCUGACCACUCAACCAAAAUAAUGUGUCAAAAAAGUGGAUUGAUUUUGUGGUUAGAAUGUUGCAGCCAAAAUUCAACCUAUCCUGCUGUUGUCUCUGCCAAAGACAAAAGUAGUUCCCCAGUUUACUGCCACGUAAAACCUGUUCCUCCAGCUCAGCACACGUGUAAGAUACGCAGAACGCCAUAUCAGCCAGCUGACAAAACCAGCAAGUGACAAUCCCUUUGCAUCCUAUAACACAAGAUACAUUUUAUAGCACAAAAUCAGAAGCUGUCUUUUGAGUUUGCUAAUUUCUGUUUCUUUUCAUUAAACUCCACAGUGUAAAUUAGACAUUAGAGAUAGAACUAGAUAUAGAAACUUUCCCAUUAUAUUUGUACCUUGGAUUGUCGUAGAUCAACAAGUGCCUUAUAGGCACCUACUGAUGCCAUGCUCCCCAUAUGUUUAUACACAAAUUGUUCUCCAAGUGUGAUGCCAUCUGCAGACAAAGCCUUUCCUCCAUUCUGCUUCCCAAUUUUGUUGAACAACUCUACAAGGAACUUCCCUUGUCUUUCAGCAACCUAUCAGUGACCAGUGCAUAGGAAAGUAUACUCUUCAUCAGUUAAUAAAACAGAGACAACAUUGAUGUUUUGCUUGUUUUUCCAAAUAGAAUGAAAUAGAAGCUUUACUACUUCUGUAGUACUAUGCAUAUGCAUAUAUUAUGUCAUUAGUAUUACUCAUUCAUUAGCCUGUCAAGUAAAGCUUAUUAAUACAGUACCAUUUUUACAUUGGAUUAAAGGACAAUAUAGAUUAAUGUCGGCUUAACUUAGUUUAGGUUUUUUCUUGAUCACUUUAUCCAUAUGUACUGACAAAACAUCAUAGACAAUAAGGCUAACCUGAGCUAAAGCUGGAAGGACUGGCCUUCCAGUUUGUUCAAGAAAACCAGCACAAUCCCCAAGUGCAAAGACAUCUUCCACAGAUGGAACACGCAUCCAUCCAUCAACGCCAAUUCUGUAUCAUUCAACAACAUUAAUUAAAUUAAAACCACAGAAAUAAAAUGAGCAAAAGAUUGAAACAUUUUUUAUUUUAAAUCUGGCUUCACAUACCUUCCACCUGGAGAGCUUGGAAGAUUCAGUGUUUUGACAAACUCAGAGGGUCCAACUCCUGUGGACCAAACCAAGAGACCAUAAGGAACUUCAGUUCCAUCACUCAAAACUAUCUUUUGGGGAUGCACCUCCUUCACAACACCCCGCAUAAGACAAACUCCAGACUGAUACAAAAAUUGAAUGUCUUAGUCUCAUGUAUAAACUUGACAGUUCAUCAUUGAAGAUUGGUAUAUACAUGAUCAAAACUCAAAAGGUUUACCUUUGUCAAGUGCUUCGUAGCAUACUGUCGAAGGCCAACAUCAAAGGAUGAAAGUAUCUCAUUUGCCUAAUUAUGAAAAGUUACACACAGUGGUUAAGUACGUGGUUAAUAUAUUUAACAACCUCAGCACACAAAAUAGACUUCAAUAUAUAAAUUAGAUACCUCAAUGAGUGUGACAUGAAUGUAAUCUUUGACAUGAGUAUAGCGCUCACGAACAUCUCUAGUGAUGAAAUCACUCAAUUCACCACUAAAUUCCACUCCUGUAGGACCACCUCCAAUAACUACACAAUGCAGCAGACGUUUCUUUUCUUCUUCUGAUAUGCCUGUCAUAAUGAAAAACUUUUUCAGCUUAGCCUUUGACAAAAAAACAAUGACAACUUCAUAAUUAUUAUAACAAAUUCAGCUUAAAACUAAACUAAGUAUGGAUAUGAAAAACCCACCUGGAUUUUCAGAAAGCAUCAGAUUAAGGAGAAGUCUCUUCCUUAUUUCUUGAGCAUGAUACACUUCACGAAGAAAAAAAGCAUGUUCCUUUACUCCCUUGAUACCAAAAGUUAAAGGCUCAGCUCCAGCUGCAAUUACAAGCUUGUCAUAUGCAACUUUGAAUUGGUAAGGCUCUUUAGAUAAUCCACCGUUGGUAACUGCCUCGCAGUAAACCUGUUGACAUGAAAUAAAUUGACUAAGCAUUUCAAUAGAGAGAAAAAAAACUUUGUACAAACAUAAAUUUAUUAGUCUUUCAAUUUUUCACAUUGAACAUUCCAUUGUAACAGUACAGUUUUUCUAAAAGAAGGGUAAGUAAUUGUACUCACUUCAUGUUUGUUUGUGUCGACUCCAGUGCAGGAAGCUAAAAAGAAGUAUGAGUUGGGUUCCUUUGCUAGUGCAUCCUGUAUUCUACCAACAGGCUCAGCAACAGACCUGAACUCAAGAGUACCAACACAUGUUGAAGCCAACAAAGGAGUGAAAACCAUAUGAUUCCUUGGUGAUAUGCAGACAACAUCGUAAAUCCUUGUGUCUAGCCCUUUAAGAAACCGACAAGCAGCCCAACCGGUACCGAGAACAACCACUCUAGGCUUUUCACCUGGUUUUGUUGCCUCUAGUCCUGCAUAUCUUGUCGGAUCAUCUUCGAACUCUGACUCAGAUUCCUCUACAACUCUUUGUGUGUUAGGGAGCUGAUGGAAUGCAGUUCCUGUGAUUCCCCUCUUCGAAAAAUUCAUGUUGUUCUGUUCCUUAUUUCGAGAAAUAUACGAAAAUGGUCCAUCUACAUGGGAAGGUAAGGAGCCUUUGGUUGUAUAUGUUCUCUCAUUGAACAUAUUCUUCUCAUGUACAUUACUUCCAACAGAAACACCUGAUCUUCUCAGGUUGCUUCUAGCAAUCCUUGCUAAUGCCAUUGUUAUAGAAUCAGUUCUAGUCACAAUGCUUUAUACUACUUUCUAAAAUUUCUGAAAUCAAAAUCAAAAUUCAAAAGUGUUAGUGCUACAAAAAGAAUGAGAUUUUUUAACAAGAAAUAGCAAACUUUAUAUAUACAAAAAGUGAGUUGCAAAUUGGUUGCUUCAGAACAUGAGCACAGACAAGAAAAGACAAUUGAGGAUUGAGGAAAGCAAGAAAAUCAAAUUGGUUGCUGACAAGUUGGCAGCCAUCAUUUCCAAGAAUAUAGGACAAGAAAAACAAAAGGUAAUAUAGCUUUGAUCAGCAGUUAUUGACAGUUACAAAGAAUGAGUUCCACUAAAAUUUAUAAACUCUAGACAAUGUAAAUGACACAUUGAAUUUGACACAGGUUUGAAACAUGUUCACUUUUUAGGGAAAAGUGACUACUAAAAAAUGAGUUUGUCACAAAACCCUUAAAUUUGAAAUUUAGUAUUUUUUUUUUUGUUAACAAUGUUAUUGAUGCGAAAUAUCAACCAACUUUGCUGAGUACUCUCUAGCGAGGAAUCUGGCUGGCCACCCAUCGUGGGAUCUCCCCUCCCAACCACAUUUUUUCAUCCAAAAAGCUCAAACUUUGCUUAAAGGAUCCAAGCCUAAUUUUUCACUCGGACCAAUGUAAUAGUAGUACAUUUCAAAUUUAGUAAUGUUAACAUGUUUUAUGUAAAAAAAAAAAAAAAAAAACUGCGUUGUUGAAUAAUACUCAUGGGUAAGGCUACUAAAUCCCUAACUUUAGGCCUACCUACAAAAAAAUACUUUUCAUUAAAAAGAUCUCUUAACAAAAAAGGUCAUAUUAAAUCUUGCUUUAAACCUCGCAAAAUUAUUGAGCCGGACAUGUCGAGCGUGUUAAAGGCUAAAGGACGAUCAUAAACCAGAAAAUUGUGGUUUUCAAAAUCAUUUACAGAGUGAAAAAAAUGGUGCAAUUUAUGGAAAGUCGUGAUCUUAGAUUCAAAAUCAGGCGAUUGAAAUAUCAAGUUUCAAUGACAACAGAGACCAAAUCACAAGAAUGAAUAAUAGUAAUUAUGAAUGAAUGACAUUAUUACAUUUUUAUGGUAAAGAAAAGAAACGUAACCUUUUGAUUUUGAUUUGCAGUAGAAGGGUUUAUGUUUUGGUUGCGGAAGGAGGAAGAUUGAUUGAAGAAGUUUUUUCACGCUGUGUUGUGUUGCCCUGAUAUGACAAAUUCUCGGUAUUUAUUAGGUUUGUAAUAAGGGUACCUACUAUUAAAAGUCACGAGUGUUAUUUAUUCUAUUAGUUUAAGGGUAUAGUAUAGUACCCUUUUGAUUUCUCAUGUGCGCCGACUUGAGACCCAAGAAAUAAGGGUGUUCUAGAAGGUCUGCCCCCACUAGCUAUCAAUGCAAAGAACAACAACAUGAAUUGUGUGUUUUACAUGAGUAUGAUAUAAUUUCUAAAUUAAUUAAUAUUAAUAGUAUAUUCUGUUUAUUUAUAUUAUUCUUAUUCUUAUUAUAUCACAACUAAUUAUGUGGAAGCCGUCAUGGGGUGUGAAGAAUUGAAACAACACCGUUUGGGGGUUGCAAAGACGACGAUGUCCCUGUUCAAUGACUUUCUUUAUUUGGAAAAUGAAAAUGAGAGAGACGUUGUUGGGUCCGGUCAUUCCAAUCAAUUUUGACUAAAUAUGGAAACUUCCAUUGUUUAUUCAUUCAUGAAGGAAGCAAAGAAUGUGGUCAAAGAAGGUGGUCAUUAAUAAAAAAAUUCGAGCUGGUGGGGACGCGGUUCAACAACAUUUGGUCUUUCAAUUACGUGCGGGUCCAGUCAAAUGAAAAGGAGUUUAUUGCUCAAUUUUUUGUUUUCAUUCGUCUCUCAUGUUACUCCAGAAAUAUUGGAAAUUCUUAUGAAAAUUGAUCUCUUGAUAGUAGGACUAGGAUGGUGGACAAGCAUCUCAAACUUUCCAAAAUAUAUUUAUAAGAGUUUGAAUGGCAAUUGUUUUAAUUAUGUAUUGCUGAUACAUGUAUUUAAGUACAACGAUAUGCCUUGGCAUUAAGAGAUAACUACCUAGCUUAUUCUAUGGUAACAACUUUAUCUACAAACAGCUGUGCAAUUCAAAUUUGAAAUAAUAACGAGAUAUGUAUGACAGAUCACUAUCCUUAACAUUAGGAUUAUUUUGUUGGUCUAACAAUAUUCAAUAGCGAACGGUGGUUACGAAUCUUUUACAUUAACAAAAGAGUUAGGAUGCUAUUGUAGGGACAUAUGCAAUAUCAGAAACCAAAAUUUUCGAAAAGUAAAAAUAUUCAAUACAUAUUAAAAAUGUCAUAAAGGAUAAAUGAUUGAUUAGAUAUUAGUUACACAAUGUACAUCAUUCAUUUCAAACAAAAAAAAAAAUGGUUAAAAAUCUUCAAAACGUCCUCCUCUUACAUGCGACUUGAUACUGAGUCGUUGAGUUUGUUUCGUCGACAAUCUACUACAAAGUAGAAUAGAGGUCGUCAUCGUAUGAGGUACCACUUGUCAUCCCAUCAAAGCAUAUGGUCCUACCCUCCUGACUACAUAUAACGUAUCCACAACAUCCCUUGCAUGAUCCUCCUCUAUCAAGUCCUCCAUAUUUGUUGGCUUAGGUGGUUCUCCCUCAAAUGGAGCACUAGUUAUACCCUAUAAAACCAGGAAAUGUAAUCCUCUAUGUGUUACCAUUGUGUCUAUGGAAAUAGACCAUGUUCAUCCUCAUGUAUAACAUGUAGCAAAAAAUAUUGGAAAGCUUGGUCUACAUGGAAGACAUUAAUAUCUGGUACGAAGGAAGGAUGCCUCGAAGUGGUCUACAUACGACCAUAUGACCUCAUCGCCCCGCUCUGAAUGAAAAGUGACAAUAAACCAUCUUGUGGCCACACUUUAUCCAAUCGAAGUACCAAUAAAUUUCUUCGCACGAAAGUGUUUGACGAUAUUCUUCAUAGAGGUUGAAGAUCACGUAAUUGACCUCUAGACGGUCAAAGAAGGGUUUGUCAUUAUCUUGUGACUUAUGGACCUUGUCAGGAACGAACCAUGAAGCAUGUGGCAUGUCGAUAGUAUAGUUGGGGUGGACAACAUAUCGAUAUAUACCGAUGAAGUGAUCCAUAGCCUAGACCUAAAACAAACACAAACAGAAACACAUAUUAUAAACACAAAUACAUAUUAAAUAUAUAUAUAUAUAUAUAUAUAUAUAUAUAUAUAUAUAUAUAUAUAUAUAUAUAUUAUCCUCCAACAGAGUACAAUAUCUUAAGUACACUUUUCAAAUCUAAAGCUUUGGUCUGAUGAUCCUCCAGAUAGAAGAGCAACAUCUUGCUCUUGGGACAUUUUUGCUUGAUGGUUCACCAACUUACCAUGAAUAGGUAAGUGAAAAGAAAUAACACAUCAUCCAAUGAGAUGGUCUUUUCACUAACGGGGAGGUGAAAUCUGAUGGUUUCUUUAUGCCAUUACUCUGUCAAAGUUCCACAUAUGGGGUUUGAUUUGUUUAAGUUUGAAAGCAAUGGUGUUUGGGUGUUUCGUAAUUAACUACCAAUAGAGGUAUUUUUAGGCGCCUAAGGAUUAAUUUAUAAAAAAAAUUGUCAUCAUAUGUGAAGAGGCCUUUUGGGCUUUCUCGCCCGUGGAGAGUAUGACACACACUAUUUUUGAACAAAAACAAAAGUGUGCAUAGUUUUUGAAAAAUCAUUAAAUAAAUUAAUCUUGAUGGUAAAAUAUGUUUUGUCAAACAGAUAAUUUUAUCCACAUUUUGUUGAUAAACAAUUAAGAAUUUUCCAAAUAUCUUUAUUAGUAAUGUUUUAAAUAAUAAUCAAUUCAAUAAAAAUGUUGCAAUGCCAUCACGUCUAAAUGUUACACCAUAACAAUUGAACGUCAAAUAAUAAAGAUCAGAGGAUGAUCUAUCAAUGUUGCGCUGAAUCAGUCAUCAACUUUAUUGACAUUCUAAAAUAAGAAAUAACAUAAAGCAAACAAAUAUUUCAAAUGUCUCACUUAGUAUUGGAGCAAUAUACUUCUAUUUAGCAAAACCAUGAAAAUUCUUUAAUGAAAAUAGGAGUAAAUACACUUUUACUAAUUGCUCCUUCCCAUCUCAAGUCCAUCCCCUUUACCAUCAUGGUCAACAAAUCUAGACCAGUAUGGGUGUCCCUUCCAAACCUUGCUCAUCUCUUCAAUUGGAAUGCCCUUAGUUUCAGGCAACAUGAAAUACACAAAGAAUGUCAUCACCACUACAAAGAAGGCAAAGAAGAUAAACAAGCCAAACUUCAUGUGACAGAGCAGGGUUAAGAAAACUUGUGCAACAAAGAAUGUGAAAAACAUGUUCACAGAUACAUUGACACUUUGAGCAGCCGAUCGAAUCUCCAAUGGAAAGAUCUCACUUGUCACCAACCAACCAAGAGGACCCCAUGACCAAGAAAAUGCUGCUACAUAAGCGCAAAUGAAUAGCACCACAACAAUUGCAUACCACUUUGGUAACUCACCAGGGUUUCCAUCAAUUCCAAAUUUGGCUCCAAUAGAUGCAGCAACUCCAAUCUUUGCACAUCAACAAAUAUAGUUGGAAAAAAAAUGUACAUUGUUAAAUUAUAAAAAUAAAAAAAAAAACAUAACUCUUUUUAUUCUGGUAAAAAAAAAAAUACACAACAUAGUUACCUGACAAAUGAGCAUUUGAAGGCCACCUUCAAGAAAAAGGGCUCUCCUACCCAAUCUAUCAACUCCAAAAAUUGAGAUAAUGGUACCAAAAGCAUUAACAACGCCAGUUAUCACAGAUGACAUAAGGGCAGCAUCAUCCUCAAACCCAACAGAACUAAAUAGCACAGGUGCAUAAAACAUUAUAACAUUGAUUCCUGUAAAUUGCUGGAAGAAUGGAAUCAAUAUGGCCAUAGAAAGUUGAGGCCUAUAUUUCCUUUGCAACAAAUUCCUCCAAGGGUUUUUCACUUGCAUGCAUGCUUCACUAGCUGCUACAAGGUCAUUGAACUCUUCAUCAACAUCUUCCACUCCACGGAUUCGCUUAAGAUGAACCUUGGCUCCAUCUCGAUCACCACGUUCGAUCAUUGAAUUAGGGGUGUCCGGAAGGACUAUUGAUCCAAUAGUUAUUAUAAGUGCUGGGACCAUAGCACCACCCAAACUCAACCUCCAUCCUAAUCCACCUUUGAGUUUGGAAAAGAAGUAGUUCAAUAUGUUGGCCAUAAGAAUACCAAUUGUGAUUGAUAACUGGAAGCCAACACUAAGAGCUCCUCUGUAUUUGUAGGGAGCCAUCUCAGAGAGGUAAAUUGGCACAGACUGUUAAUCACAAAUAAAUUAGAUGAGACCAUGGUAGAUUAGAUGAAAUAAUUUUGGGAUGGGACCAGUUUAAUAAUUUUUAGAUGUAAUCAGGUCUUUGUCUUAUCAAAAAAAGUAUCCUUCAAAAAAAAAAAGGUCUUUGUUGAUAAGUUGAACAUUUAUUGUUACUAUCUUGCACUGUCAGCAUAACAAAUUGUCUAAUUACUUUUUAAAAUAUAUGUAAUUUAUAAGAAUUUAAUAACUUUGUAUCGCAAUUUAGCAGUGGAAAAUGUUUACACAAAUAUUUAGUCAUACUACACUGUCUUGCAAUAAAUAUUUCACCAUAUCAGUGUUUUUUAAGUGUGACACUAUAAAUAUUAGUGUUACUUUAAUAUAUUAUUAAUUACUAAAUUAUUACUAUGACUGUAAAAAAAAUUACUAAAUUAUUAUAAAUUUAUCAUAUUAUAAUACUACAUAUUAUUUUUUGGUGGUGGAUAAUACUACGUAUAACUUUAAUAAAUCAUCUACCAAAAUGCUUAGUCAAACAAUUAAUAUCAACAUAAAUGCUUAGUCAAACAAUUAAUUAUAAUAAUAAUAAUAAUAAUAACAAUAAUAAAUUAUUAAAUACUAUAAUUAACUAAAAAUAUAAUUAAUAAAAAUACCAAGUGUGUGUAUAUAAUAAUUUAAUACCAAAAAAGAUAGUGCACUAACAAAAAUAUAUAUAAUAAUUUAAUAAUAACAGUGUGGGACCCUCUAAAAAAAAGUGAGGGACACACAUUAAUUUUACAUAAUAAAAUUAUGAGUGUUAGAGAAAGUGUUGAAAAGAAAGUGUUUUUAACACUCCUCUAAAAUAUUUUGAUUUUAAUUAUAUUUUUCUUAAAAAUUAUAUAAAUGAUAAUUUGCGAUAAGUUCACGUUGUAAAAAGUUUUACAUCAAAAUGAUGUAAACUUAAGUACAUAAAAAAGGUAACUUUGGAGUAAAUAAACUCAUUAUCAGAAACAAUAACAAUGGAGCAUAAUUUUAUGUAUUCUUAAUCUAAAUCAUGGCAGAUUUGGAUCUACAACACAUUGAAAUAAUACGAGAGACAUGUCUAUAUUUUGUGCUAAUGAAAAGAAGCUAAAAAUAUUAAAAGGAAGAGGAUAUACUAAUAUACCUGAUUAGCAAAUCCAAUACCAAAUCCUAGUAAUAUCCGACCAACGAUCAACAUCCAAACGUGUUGGGCGAAGCCAUUAACAAGGGCACCAAUGAGGAACAAUAAACCUCCAAAAAACAUGGAAAGUUUCCGACCAAACCUACGGGUGACACUCGACGCCACCAGCGAAGACAACAACGCGGCUAGGUACAAGGACGAUGUAAACAUCGUUAGGAUCUGGCUAUCGUACUGACAAUACUUAUUUGAUGACGUGCCCAAGUUUUUCUUCCGAUACACCAAUGGAAAAAACUUCAACAGAAAGGGAUCCAUUGACGUCACCCCACCUAACCAAAAUUCAUGCAAUCAAAUCAAAUCAAAACACAUACAAUAAACUCUAUAGUUGUAAACUAUCGAUUUCAGUUGCAAUUAUGACAACAAUAUAAAAGAUGAGGUCUCUCUACAACGAUAUCACAGUCGCAUGGACCAACUUUACACGUAUUUUAUUGCAAUUAAAGGUUUACAACGUAACUGCAACUAUAAAUAUAUACCUGAAAUUCCAAUAUCGUAGCCGAAGAUUAAACCUCCCAUUGCUGCAACAAUGCAUGUUACAGUAACAAAAGGAGUGAGGUUGCCGGGGUACUCCUUGUUGCCUCCGCCGGUGGGUAUUCCUACUGCAGGCAUUUUUUGCUUCUCAGUUUUUUUCUGACUUUGGUAGAGAGAGUGAAGACCUAUAGAGAUUUAAGAUGGGGUGGGCAUGUAAAGUGUUUAUAUAAGAAAUAAUUAAUUUUGGUUAUAUUUCCGAUGAACAGUUCACACACACAUGUAAAUAUAAGUGAACGUAUUUAAUACUUCACUACCAAAAAUAUAUCACUACAAAAAAAAACGUAUAUAAUACUUGUUUCCAAAACAAAAUGUAUAUUUAGUCAAAAGUGGAUAAGUGUUAAGGAGGAUGGAUAAUUUUUUCACUUAUUACUUGAAAAAUGUACUUGUCUUUUUUUCAAGUAUUACUUGAAAAAUUAUAUUAAUAAGUCAAAAUUGGAUAAGAAUUAUAGAGUAGGUUUGAUUGGCAAAACAUUAAAUACUAGAAGAACGGUACAAUGUAUUGGAGAGAGAUGCAGAGAUGAUUUUUAUGUUUGGAAAUAAAAAUUAACUACUGUUAUCACAGUCCUAAUUUGCCAUUUAUAUGCAUUUUAUUUUGAUCAUUGUUUAUUCAUUAACAUAUAACACUUGAGAUUAUUCAAUGAAUCUUUUUAGACUGGAGUAUUGAUCAGUUAAGAUGAGUCAUAUCCAAGUAUCAAGAACAAAAUUAGUUGAAAAAAUUAUGUUGGAAUUAAUCUUAGAAUAUUUGACUUUUUUACCCUGAUUUAAAUAUAAGGCUUAAUUGAACUCCGGUCCCUUAACUUAAUUAUCUUCUUCAAAUUAGUCCCAUAGCUGUUAAAAUCAUCAACUUGGUCCUUUAUCUUGUUUUCGUCCAUCAAUUUGAUCAAAUUUUGAUAAUUUUAAUCUUCUAAAAAAAAAGACUGUUGGAUUACGGAGAUCUAUCAGAUUUUAUAGUGUAUCGUCAACACCUAAUUUAUUUACUUUCUUCUUCUUCUCCCCUCAUCUUCAUUCAUCCUUCACCAUCUCCAUAAAAUAAAAUAAAAUAAAAAACUCAAAAAAAAUCUUUAAGCCAUUAAAAAAAAAAUAAUCAAAAGUAAACACAUCCUUCAAAAAUCCUUUAAUUGUGAAAUCAACUAAUUCUGCAAAUCCAUGAAGAACAGCUGCAAAAACAACAACUGUAUUUUCUCACCUCCUUCCUCUCACAUUUCUUCUUAAUGAUUUCUCUCUCGAGUGAUUACCACCAAAAUUCCCAAUUACCCUAAACCUGUUUACUCACUAUUUUGUACUAUGUUGGUGUCAAGAACAAGAAUGUGCAGAUUCUUCUACGCCACCCCUCCGAUCUGAUUCAUCCACAUGACCCCUCCCUUCGACCGUUUGACACAUCAACCCAGAUUUUUGUUGUCGUUUGACCUCUCUUUGUAGUCACAACAAGAAAGUCAUGAAAAGCUACCCCCUUUGAUAUAUUUGUUGUCACUGAAUUCUGGUUUUUUUUUAAGGUUUAAAAACAUUGGAUUUUGAUUAUAUUUGUUGAAAUUGAUACAAAAGUUAUAAAAUUGAUUCUAGUUGUUGAUGAAUUUCUGGGGUGGAUGCUUCUCAACCCAAAGAUCUGUGGUAUACAUAGAUAUCCUUUUAUACUUCUCCGAUUUGAAAAGAUCUGAACUCUUCUUUCUCAUUCUGAUGUUGUUUAUUCGUGAUGUUUAAUUGAUGUUUACUUGUUUUAUUAAAAAAAGGGAAAAUGAGUUUUAACAGAUGAUUCCUGAUGCAUUUUUGUUCCUUUUCCUGCUGCGUUUUUAACUUCUGUUUCCGUUGUGUUUUUGUUGUUGGAAAACUAAUUCCAUCUUGGAGUAAUGGUUGUGAGUUUAAUUGGGACAGUUAAAGCCUUUUCCAUCUUUACCAAUACAAUUCUGCUCCUGCAUAUUUCAAUUAACCAAUUCAAUUCUAGUUUUUUCAUUAAUUAAUUGUUAUGUUUUAAUUGUUGUGAGGAAAAUGAUUUUCUAUUGCAUUGUGUUCUUGUGUUUUUUCGAGAUUAACAAAAUCAAUUUUUAUUAAUAAUGUGAUUCAAUUAAUUUGAGAUUAUAACGAAGAUGAAGAUGAGAGAAGAAGAAGAAAGUAAAUAAAUUAGGUGUUGGUGAUACACUAUAAAAUCUGGUAGACCUUCGUAAUCCAACGAUCUUUUUUUUUAGGAGAUUAAAAUUAUCAAAAUUGGAUCAAAUUGAUGGACGAAAACAAGAUACAGGACCAAGUUGAUGAUUUUAACAGCUAUGGAACUAAUUUGAAGAAAAGAAUUAAUUUAAGGGACCGGGAGUUUAAUUAAGCCUAAAUAUAACUAGGGAAUUAAAUGUUAAAGAGUGUCCUUGGACCAUUGGUUAAGAAGAAAAAAAUAGCAAUUUUGCAUUAGAAAAUGGUGAAAAACGAUGAAUUUAACUUUUUAAAAGUUAAAAUAUUGUUGAAUCUAAUGCAAAGUUACUCAUUUUAGUUUUCUUAACAAAUUCCUAAGGGCACUUGUUAGCACUAGGGGUGGACAACGGUCGGAUUCGGACAGUUUCGGGCCAAAAAUUGAAUAUUUGAAGCAAACCACGGUUGGAAAAAUUCAGCCACUUCCGUCCAUUAGUGUAUACGGUUUUGUCGGAUGACGGUUCCAUCGGGUAUCGAUUUUAGAUGGGUGGGUUAAAGUGGUUUCGAAUCAAUAAAAAAAUUGAUCUUGGAGAAGAAAAACUCAGACAUUACCACAACAACAUACGUGAAAGAAAAAACCCAUAAACAUCUUCAGCAUAAAUUGUUGAAUAACAAGUGAAAAAUCGUUACAGAUAAACAAAAGUAUUUUCUUUUUUUGUUUAGUGUAGAACAAAUUGUUACAGAUAGAUAAUUAGUGAAAAAUAAAAUAAAAUAGGAGAAGAACAUCUCUUUGAAACAGAUCUGAUGUAAAAAGAACGGAUCUGAAACAUAUGAAACUCGAUCUGAUGCGAAUGAGGAAGACAAUGUUUGGUGAAUGAAGUAAAACAUUGAGAGAGAGAGAGAGAGAGAGAGAGAGAGAGGGGAGUAAAGUGCAACCCUUUAUUCUACACACUUACGAAAAGUGCAAUCUUAGCCAUUCAUUUUCUAUUGGUAAUUGUCAAUAAAAAUCUAACGGUGCUUGUAAGCUGAGAUAAAGUGUCUUGGAAGGCGGUCGGAUUAGGAUUUCGAUGGAUUUGGAUUUUCAGUCCGCAUCUGCCCAUUGCUAACUGUGUAGAACCGAACAUUCAACCCGUUUCACCCGUUAUUCACUCGCCCGCUUGCCAGUUUUCUCUUGCGGAUGAAUCGGGUUCGGACGGUUCAGCUUUUUCUGUCCACCCCUAGUUAGCACAACUUAUAUAGUAACUAAUUACACAUACUUACGAGCACUAACUCCAACAUUAACAAAUAAAAAUGGUAUUAAUCUCAACUAAUCCGUUAAAGAUCUUGCUAACGAGUAUCCUAACAGCACUAUUUAAGAAUUUUCAAUGCAUUAAAUUCAUCUCUUUCUAUAUAAAAAAAAACUUAUUAUUUACUCCCUCUGUUUCACAAUGAGUGUCACUUUAAUCAAAAAAAAUUGUUUCAAAAUAAAUAUCACUUUACAUUUUCAAUACAACUUUAAUUUUUUUCUUCCAACUUUACCCUCAAUAAAUACUGCAACGUUUCUUUCACAAUUUUCAAUGCAAUUUUAAGUUUAUCUUUUUCUUAUAAAGUCAUGGCAAUUUAGUAAAAGUGAUAUAUCAUUAUUUCAUUUUAUUUCUUAAUAUGUUUGUUUGUCUUUUUCUUGUUAAAAAGUAUUUUGUUUAUACUCGUUAACAUUUUCCAUCCGUUAAAUAUGUAAUCUUAUAAGCAAAACUCAUACUACAUAUAAUUUCUCUUUUCUUUUGUCAAUAGUUGAUUGUUUGUCGAGUCAGCCAUCAUAUCUUAUUGAGAAAGAAAGUGGAAUCAGCUGGAAAAUUGAGAUUGUCCAUUUUUCCUCUUUUCUUCUUUUGGUGGUGAUUUUUCCUCUUUUCUAAAGUAUAUAAGAUUUGACCAUUGUGGAAUAUUAGGAAAAACUACCGCACGACGUUGGAUAAUUUUUCAAACCAAGUACACUUUAAUAUUUCCUCCCGUCUUUAUUAUAAGAAAAAGUUGAUUUUUUAGGUUUAUAGAAUAAUUAAUGUAUCUUAUUAUAAAUAUAGAUUAGAUACAUCACUUACACAAUGAACCAAAAAAUCAAUUGUUUCUUAUAAUAAUGACCGAAGAGAGUAUUAAUCAAAUUAAAAUAUUAAUAAUACAAUGCACACUCAUAUUCUUUCAUAGUUGGUGGUCGAACCCGCUCUUAUGUAUGGACAUAGACUGACUUUUUAUGUAUGGACAUAGACCUACUGUUGUGUAUGAUUGACUUGACUGUAUUCUUUCCGUAAUUGUUUUGGCACACCUUGUGCUAUGACAAUUACAAUGUCAGUGUUAAUAUAAUUCAUUUUUGUCUCUUCCAAAAAAAAAAAAAAAACAUAAACCCUCUGUUAAUAGAAAAAUGACUGGUGAUUCAAAGUUUAGCUGCAAGAUAAAUAAAACUUAGAUAAAGAUGAUUUUUUUCUUUUGAGAGGUAGAUAAAGAAGAGUUAACAUUCUCGUCAUUUUUUGUCAAAAAAAAAAAAAAAACAUUCUCGUCAUUUCUCAUCAACAAAACUUAAUUGACACUUUGUCAAAAAAAAUUAAUUGACGCAGAAAUAGAUAAUGAGUUCCACCAUUAUUGAAAAAAAAAAAAACUUGAAUAUGUAAAAAAAAAAAGUCAAAUGCAUCUAAAAGUCUAGAGCCUGUUUGAAAUAGUUUUUGUUUUCAGUUUUUGAAAUAUAUAAGUCCUCUUCUCACAAUAGUUAUCAUUUUAUAUGUUUUAGUUUUAGUCCCCAAAACUAAAAAAUUCAAAACUGUAAUUUUAAAAAAUAGUUUAGCGAAAAAGUUUUUAAUUUUCAAGUUUUUAAAAACUAAAAAUGAGUUUUUGGAAAGUGUUUCAAACUGACUUUAAGUUUCAAAAGUCCCAAAGUGGUCCUUUAAGUUUCAAAAGUCUCAAACAAGUCCUUUUAGUUUUUGAAUCGUUUCAAACAAGUCGUUUUAGAGGAUGAUGGUGAUGAUUCAGAUGAUAACAACAAAGAGCAUUAUCCACCUUUGUCAUGCCUAAAAAGAUGACUAAUUUUAAGUGGGUGUUAGGAGCCAGAUUUGGUACCAAAAAUGAGUUCAUGGAAGCAAUUACCAACUAUGCUAUCUACAAUAGAACUUGUUUGAAACGAUUCAAAAACUAAAAGGAUUUGUUUGGAACCUUUGAAACUUAAAGGACCACUUUGAAAAAAAUGAAAAACUUAAAGGAUCUUUAGAUGCAUUUGUCCAAAAAAAAUCAUCUUUUAAGUUUAUCUCUCUUUAAAUUGAGUCGUCUAUUUAUUUUGGGAAAUUGAGGAUGGUAACUCAAUCAAGAAGGGUAUUAUAUUAAUCUUGAUAUGCUAUUUUCAACUGUGAUCCUUUUUGAAUUUUACAUGGACAAAGCUCAAGAUUUGUGUUUCUUCAUAAUUUGAUUUAAUUUUCUUGUAUUUUUUGCUAAGAUACCAUAACAUUUUCACAAUCAAAGUUUCUUAAAAAAAAAAUGUUUUUAAUUGAAAUCAAAGAACUACUAUUUGAUUUAUUUUGUAAUAUAGUAGAUUGUAAAUUGGUUUUUAGCAGUUUAAAUUUAAAAAAGUUUCUCUCGUGAGAAGUAAUAGUAACCAAAAUAUGUAAUACUACUGUAUAAAUUGUGCAUGCAUUUGAGAAGAAAAAAUAUAUACUGGUUCGCAUAUAUUAUCUUAAAAAUAUAUAUCGAAUUAACUAAUUAAGGACGAAUCAUUGGAAAAUUUUGAGUUCAAAUCUUAUUUUAAACAAUUUGGAUCUUUUUUGCAAAAGUUGUUAGACUUUACUUACCUAGUCGAAUUUCAUAUUAAAAUGGCCUCUUUCGCUGAGAUCCAGUGGGUUAAGGAAGGAAGAAACAGUCAUCUUUAAAUAUAUACACUACUGAUAUAUAUUAGUUUUAAGCUUGAGCUAUUCUGGUCUUCGGAGUGAAAAUGUGGUUGAGGAUAGCUGCAAGUCGCACACCACCUUGAGCCAGCCUUUUCUCCACAAUAGGCAACCGAGAAAGGAAGUAGUCAUCUACAUCAUCAAGAAGAAAAAAAAUGUAUGAGAAGUCAUUCUUCAGGGAUUAUGAAAUAAAGAGAAAAAAAAUUGUACACUGCUGCAAUCAUCAAAAGUGUGCAUUGAUGUCCAAGUACAAAGAACAAUAUGAGUAUAUGACAGGUAUUUUGGAUUUUGGUUUUAUUGUUGUUGAUAAAUCGAUAAAUAAAAAAACGAUUCACUAGAAAUCUAGAAGAGAGCAAGAAGGCAAUGCAUGCGGAUCAAUAAUCCUCUUAUCUUAAAAUAGAAAAGAACGUGAUACAGAAAAGCAUAGGAUGAAAUAGAUUUGUCCAAAUGAAAAAUCAGUCCCUUUUUUUUAUAAAACAAGGAAGCUUUCUUGAAGCUAAGGAAAACAAUGAGCUCAAGAAACAAAAGAUGAGGAGGAGGAAGUCUCUAGCUGAAGACUCUAGAGUUCCAAAAAUAUUUUCGUUUAUCGAUGAAAAACUAGGAAAUUACCUUCCAAAGUGCUUCCCGGUGUAGCAUUCUUAUACGCAAACUUGCAUGCCAAGCUAAUACUCUCAGAAGCAUACCUGAAUAUAAUCAACAAAAUCAUGAUAUCAAUUUCUUAUCCUCAGUUGUAUGUGAGUAAUUAUUUAAUAUCUAGUAAUAUGCAAUUAUGGAAAAUCAAGGGAAGUCCAUGUCUGUCAGAACACAAACACAGGCUAACAUUUUAUAGCAUUGAAUCUGAAUAAAAUUCAAUAACUAAUUUCAAAAUCAACAAUUGAGUAUUUCAGUGUAAUUUCCAGGCGAAGAUGACAAUUAUGACAAUGAGGCACACCAAAUGAAUACAAGAAACAUGGCAACAGAGACAUGAAGAUAUUGACUGCCAAGCAAUAAAAAGUCUAAACAAUUCAAUAUUCAGCAACCAAACAGUUAAAACUAGAGCAAAAUGAUGGUGGAACAGGAAAUUUAUUAGGCACGCACCGGUCUGGACAUGCUGUGUGGUUGUGUGCACAAUGUUCCCAAAUAGAUACAUCAUUUGACCAAAUAUCCUGCAAAAAGUGAGUAAAAAUAAUAGUUGGUCUUGGGUCAUAUACAGGUAUGCAGUGCGAGUCCAAGCAAAGAAAUAAGUGCGAUAGCCAAAAGAAAAAACAUCAACUUAUCUAUGCCUGGUAUCCCCAUCAUUUGAAUAAAUGCAUAAAGAUAUAGGGAAGAAAUUACACUAAUAUUCCUUUGAAUAGCCUGUAUCAUAGUUGAAAGAUCUGAACCAUAGAACUUUUUCAGAGCAGACUCAAUAAUCAUGUUAUCCCAUACCUGGAACAAAACCAAACAUGCUGAAUAUACUAUAUUAUUGACAAGGACAGGUAGCACAAACAAUAUGAUCAACAGAUCAAAACCAAAAGAAAAUGUAUACAAGAACAUAGUGGCAAGGUAAAUAAGAAGCAAUUUCAAAGGUAGGUGAAUCUUUAGCUACACAUCCUUGGCUAUGUGAGAAUAUGACAAAUCUUUUAAUUAAAAAUCUAAACCACUUUCUAUCAGAAUACAAAAGUAUGACAUCAAACGCCAAGUUUAAGAAUCUAUAGCAUACAUAGAAUUCAAAUUUAUUACUUUAACCUUUUAUUCCCUCUCCUAUCUAACUUAUUUCUCCUAGCCACAAUUUAAAAAGCAGCAAUAUAUGAAAUCAAUAGUCCUAUAGAGCUUCCAUGCAGGUAAAGUUAUGAUAUAACUGUCAAUCUUCAAUGAAAUAAAAGAAGGAAAAGGCAAAUUCUGAAUCAAUCACAAACACUCCAUGAAGUGAACAAUUGAAGAAAAGACCCAAUAUACAAGUUAGUUAGGUUGCGGAAUGCGUAAUGCAAUUAGCCUGAUCAAGUAGCAUAGCAUACGAUCCGAUCUGUAGCACUUACGUGAUGAAGAUUUGUUUUCCUCCUGUACCAACGAACUGUUAUUGAGUUUCCACCUAGGUCUCCAGUAAAACCAACAUGUAGGGGCUGCACCGGAAAAUGGGAACCAGAAAAAAGUAUCACCUCAAAAGCACAAUUUUUUAGAAGAGAAAGUAUAUUUAACCAUGGGAUUGUAAUUUUUAUAAUAUACACAAUGAAUAAUAUCAUAACCAUUCCCACCAAUCCCGGUUUUGAAGUCUAACAUUCUUUUUUCUCAAUUUACCUACCCAUAUUAUAGUAAGUCACUGAUGAUAAUCAAGGAUUUGAAAAUCAUAAAUACUUCUUAAAUUAAACUAGGUAUUUAUUCAAUUGUUCAUUUGGUUUUGAAUAGGAACCAGGAAGAACAAACCUGAUGAACAUCUCCAACAAAAUGUGACAAGAACAUAAGUGCCUCUGUCAAGUUAUCUGUAAUUAAGGGAGGAAAGUAAUAAAUUUAAGGACCUAUCUUCAAAUAAAACAAGCAAAUUAAGAAUUUAAUUCGUAAAUGCUUACAUUUUAAUUCAGAUGAAGCAUCGGCGUUAGCUAAUUUUAAUUGCAUUGUAUAAUUGUAUAUUGCUCCAGUAACGCAUCUAUGCUUAUGUCCAUAAGAAUCAUGACAGUCUCCUAUAAGAAUUGCAAGAAACAUUGAAUUAAUUUGUGAAGUGCAUGGCCACAUUAAGAGAUCUAAGGCUUUAUUUGCCAAUUUUACCCUGGUUAUUUUUAAUAUAUUAGAUUAAUAUUUACUCUUUGAUCUAGUUUUACCAAACACUACAAAUUCAAUUCACUAGCUUAUCUGUUAUCAGGAACUUUUUAGCAAACAAAGACUAAAUAUGAAAUAAUGUUAUUGGAAAAAGAAUUGAAUUACUUACUGCAAUAUUGAUAGUUACAUUUGAAAUCUGGUGUAUCAAUAUAAUGUAAAGGACUACUCCAACGAUAAUGGUAAUUAUGGCGAAUCUCAUCAGGCCAAGAGCAAACUGAAGCAAGAUCAGCUUGAGCAGAAUCUGGAAGUAAUUGUUUGACUGCAAAUAGAGCAUCUUCACUAAGAUACUCCUAAAAUUAGGGUUUGAAUUUAGAAUCAAAUGAUGAAGUAGGUGAGGAGUAGUGUAGUGAAUAGGGGUUAGGGUUACCUGUGAAAUUUUACAAAUUGCAUAGUGACCAUCUUUUCCCCAAGCCAGAACAUUUGGCAACGCGAGUGAUAGCAGCAACGGAACUAAGAGCGUGAUCAUAUUGAGUGUGUUCCGAACCGUUCUAGAAAUUUUGUGGGAAAAUAUCCUAAAGUUUCAUUCUUCAAAUUUACAAAAUAUUGAUUGAUUGAUGCACUUAGUAGUUUCUUUUUUUAGGUAAAGUAUGUUCGGGGAUUUUGCGUAUAUCUAAUAUUUUGCAGUCUAAAUUUAUUGUUUUUAUGGUAAAGUGCACUUUUCCCCCUAACUUUCAAAAACUUGUAAUUUUGGUCCCCUAAGUAAAGAAAUUAUAAUUUUGGCCCCUUAAGAUUUAGCCCCAUUGCAACUUUAAUUCUUUUGGUCAAUUUUGACCAGUCAAUGCCUACGUGGCAUGUCACGUGUGUAAUUAAUGAAUUAAAAAAAUAAAAAAAGCAUAUUAUCAUUUUUUAAAUUAAAUAAAUGAAAAUGAAAUUAAAAAAUAAAAAAAAACAUAAAAAAAAUUAAAAUUAUAAGGAAAGGAAAAAUCGGACCUAGAAAAACUCAAAACUCUUGUUAAACCCAACAGGUAAUAGCACAUCAGUUCAUCCAACCCAGAAAAGGGCGACAUUUUUUCACUUUCUCCCUCAACCGCCGGUAGCAUGCGUUAGCAGAACAGAACAAACUGAACAGAGUAUCUGCAAGCAAAGCAAGAAUAAUGAAGAAAAGGAAACGAUUCUGAUUCCGAUUGAAAAGAAUGAAGAAGAUUGAUAUUCCGAAACCGUUAAGGGAUUAAUCUCACUUUUGGAGAGUCCCAAUAGAAAAGUUUUUAUCUCCGCUUGCAAUACACUCUUGGAUUUCUCUACCACCGCUUUCGCCCAACAACAAUUUCCCAGGAAAAUUGAUGCUGUUUGAGAUUCCCAAUUGAAGGGAUUGGGGUUUUGAUUCGGCAGCGUUGCGAUGACAUAAGGUUUGCUACAGAGAUGACAACAAAAGCUUUGAUGACGACGGCGAUAGAAACUCUUUGCACGACGGCGGCGACAGAGUAUGUGGAUGGUGCUAAAAAGUUGCACGACGGCGGCGAUUGAAGCAUCAAUUUCUUCUUCUCUUUUUUGUUACGAGGUUCAAUUGUUUGUGGUUUUUUUUUUUAUGGAUGGUGUUAAUAACUAGUUUAGUUUUAAACUGGUUUAAUUGUUUUUCAACCGGUUUUGAUAAUUUAGAUCCAAUCCAUUUCAUUGAUGCUGUUUGAGAUCCAAUCCAUUCCAUUUCAACCGGUUUUUCCUUUCCUUAUAAUUUUAAUUUUUUUCUGAUUUUUUUUUAUUUUUUUAAUUUCAUUUUCAUUUAUUUAAUUUAAAAAAUUAUAAUGUUUUUUUUAUUUUUUUUAAUUCAAUAAUUAUACACGUGGCGUGCCACAUAGGCAUUGACCGGUCAAAAUUGGCCAAAAGGAUUAAAGUUGCAAUGAGGCUAAAUCUUAGGGGGCCAAAAUUGUAGUUUAUGUACUUAGGGGGCUAAAAUUGCAAAUUUUUAAAAGUUAAGGGGGGGAAAGUGCACUUUAAACCUUGUUUUUACUCUUGAAUGAUUAAUUGAUCAACUUUUUUUUUUCCUAAUUUUCUUGGAUAAUCCUAUUUGAGAAAUGUGAACAAGAACUAAUUUGAUUGAAGUUGUUCAAUUUUAUAAACUAAUUUGUUAACGUGAUCAUCUUAUAAUUUUAAAUUGAAUAGUAAAAUUGGUAAUCGAAAUGGUAAAUGUUUGUAAAAAAAAAAGACCUCAAAUUCUAUGAAUUAGCAAAUGUAUCCUUGUUAUUGAAAUUGUAGUUCUUCACUCAAAAUAGUUUAUUUAUUAACUUCUUUGCUUAGAGGCCAUAAUGUAAUUUGUUAAAUAUAAACACACGUUUUCACGUGAAUCACACAUCAAUGUCACAUUGCAUGCUAUAUUGCGUAUAAAAUAUACAAGACAACUCGUUAGCAAGACCCUUAAUAUAUUUGGAAUAGAGAAAUGAUACCUACUUUUCUUUGUGAAUGUAUGGUUGUCCUAAAAGUUGUCACACAAAUGAUUGUUCAAAUAACACACCUCUUUGAAAAAUUACAAUCGAUUUUAUCGCGCAAUCUACAUGAAUAGUAAACCGUCCAAUUGACUAGGGAACUUAUGAGUUUGGUUCUUGAGUGAUUAUUUGAAGUAGAACAUGCAUGAGCAGCGAGGUUGAGUUUUUAGGCAGCAUGGAUUCACAAAGGGUUGUACGUGCAUGAGGCUUGUACGUGAUGGAGACCAACAAAAGUGGUUGCACAUAGUGGAUAUUAUCACAACUAAAACUUUUUUUGCAUUUUUGUGCCAAAUCACAAUUAGUAUAUUCCUUCGACAUCAAAACUAGCUCUUACAUGCAAAUUCCACUAUUCAAGGAGAUAACGUGUAUGACAAAUUUAUGAAGUGUUUUUAUACAAGAACUUGUUCUUAACCAUUAAAAAUAAUUGUGGGCUAACAUGUACAAACGUGAAAACUUCUAAAACUCAUUUUUAGUUUUGAAAGAAUUGUUACCAUUUGAGUUGUUAUUACACAUACAAACGCUCAUCAAAAGCAAGUACCUUGCUAGUAUUUUUGUUUAAUUUUCCUCAAAAAAAUCAAUCAGAAAACAAUGCUUCUUCAGCUUUGAAAAGUUACAUGCAUACAAUACAAUGCAAAUUACAAGGCAAAACUUUUUGCUAAUAUUCAUUGUGAUUGCCGGGAAGGAUAAAUGCAGUAAAUGUAAGCAAUGCUGCUCACCAUCUAUGUUGAAAAGAUUGAACAAACUCAACCAGCGCUCACAACCAUGAAGUUAAAACAACAAAUGUAAGCAAUGCUGCUCACCAUCCUGCUUCUAGGAUUAAGAUGCACUCUGCACACAAAAAACAUUACCUUUUCACAGUUAGGUCUUAUUGUUGUCGUCCUAUUACAUUAAGAAGCGAAGAACAAAUAACCAAACACAGUUAAUAAGACCUGUCUGUAACCUGUGUUUCAAAGGAUAAUGUGUUGAGGAUAAUAAACAGAAAGGUAACUAGAAAUCUACAUCAAGCAUUUCGUGCAAAAAGUUUGAUGACAAAAAAAGUAUAUAUAAUAGUAAAUUGAAAAGUUGAGCAGGAAGGAAGUAUAAGGUUCUGUUUAGAGGGAGUGAUUUUUGUCUUUAUUUCUUACAUUCAUUUUUAAUUACAUAAGUUUGUUUUCAUUUCACCUCCUGUUUCCAAUAGUUUGUAUAAAAAAUUGUGAAAUCAACUUUCCUAUUAUUUUCACGAUUUCCUAUACAAAAUAGAAAAUGCAGUGAAAACAGAAUGAUAUUUUAGGGAAAAUAUAACAUGUUUUCUCAAACUAAACCUUAAAAAAAAUAUAUACUUGCCAGUUGCUGAUUUGCUGCUACUUUAAUUCAACAAUUGAGCAUGAAACAAAGGAAUUUUCAAAGAAAAUUAAUAGAUUGAUUUUUUACAAAAAAAAAUAAUAAUACAUUGUGCAAUGAUAUUGCGACAAAUAAAUACUCAAUAGUCAUCGUAUUCAGAUAAUAAGUAAAAUCACCAAAGAUAGUUACAUUCACUACAUUCUCUAAAGCAAUCACGUAUCGAGUACUGGAUUAGAAUUAUAAGCACAAGGUGAUAACUUUCAAUGCAAAGGAAAAUAUGACCAGUGAGAUAUAAGUUAGGGCUUGCAAACCUCGUCAAUAGUUUUCCAUAAUUUUUCUGAAGAGUUCUUUUGGUGCUGCAAAUGCAAAACGAAUUCAAAGAAGCAAUAUAAGAUGUUAUAACUAUUCAAUCAAAUAAAUUACAAACCACGGAAACAAGGACAACGAAAUCAGGGCCAAAAAGUCCAUGGAACAUAGUCUAUUAAAUUUUUUACUGUCAGUUUACCUGGCAAUCCAGUAUAAUGCUCAUAUUGUCGAUAUGCUUGUCCAAUAAACAUCUCCAGUCCUGUUACAAUAGUAGCUCCAGAUUCUUCUGCUUCUUUCAACAGUCUAGUCAUUUUUGGCGUGUAGACAGCAUCAAAAACCAGAGAGUAAAAUUUCAAUGCAUGCUACAAAAAACAGAAGUGAUUAGUUCCCUGAAGGUCAACUUUCUCUCGUCCCUUAGUAAGAUAGUUUGUGCCUUAAUAAAAACAAUAUUUGACAGUAACAUCCAUCUACAAUAGAAACGCCACGGGCCAAACAUAAAUACGUGGUAGAAGUGCUUUUGUUUGGGUCACCGCUCCACUUCCACUUAAAGAAUGAGUAUUUUGAUGGCCAAGUUUUUGGCAUUUUGUUCAUGUAAAAUUCAACUAUACCAAAUAAAUACACAAUCAUGGAGAGCAUAAAUAUUUCAAACCAAAAGGUCUAAGUCACAAACAUGGCUUAAGGCCUUAAGCGGCAUUAAAAAUCAUAUACUAUAAUGAUUCCCAACCAAAAUUCUGUUAAGGAAAUCGGAAUAAACAUAUAAUUUAAUCUGUAAGCAUGACCACUAUAAAAUAUUUUUACAUAUGCAUCCAAUUGCAUCUCAUUUGUGAAGAUAUUCUAGGAACCAACCUAACAUGGUGGCAUCAUGAUGUGAUUUUAUUGGAACCAACAUAGCAUAUUGUGAUAUUAAUUUUUUUUCAAAACAAAUAAUUAUGUUUCAUUUGAAUAGAAAUCCAAUCUUCACUAGAAAAAUCAAGGUAGAUGUGAUGCUCAUUAACAUAUCAAACUCAAAAGUUCCAAUAACAUUAAUAGCACAAGGCCCUAUUUGGUUUAGUACAGCCAUAUAAGUAGCAUACCUUUGAAAUAGGUGUUUCAUCAACUUUUGGUUGCAUUCCGAUUGAAGUUGUGUUUGCUAGAAUCAUACCAUCCUCUGGAUGGUAAUUAUCUAAAUCAUUGAGGGUAAGAGCAUCUCCACCGAUUACAUCAGCAAGUUCUCUGGCACGAUCUAUAUAUAAACAAUACACAUAGUGCAUCAACAAAUAUGUUUGACAAGGGGAGAGAAAUCAAUUGCCAAAAUUGUUUGUUAGAAAAGCUAUAUGGUGAAUGCAACGCUGAUUGAAGCGGCAAGCAACACACAAUAUUGUGCAAAACUUGUGUAAAUAUUUUGAAUCCAUGUGACAAUGAACUGAAUAAACAAAUGUACUAACAUGAGUUUGGAAUACAAAAUAUUGUAAAUGCAGAAACCUUUUCUUAUUUAAGAGAGAAAUGUUAAUAAGCAAAAGGAUAGUAAUUAGUAAGGCAUACAGGGGAAAGCAUAAGAUGAAACAUGACAAUAAUAUCUACAGAAUGCAAGUUGAUAUCUAGAGACACGAGAAGAAAUAGAACCCAAGAAAGCAUCUCAUGAAGAUAACUACCAUCCAUUUAAUCAAUUAAAAGAAUUCAUCUUAUCAUCAGCUAUCUCCAAUAUAUGGUGUUUUGAAACAAGAUCCUGGAAUAGCCUUUUGCAAUUCAACUUUUUUUAACUCUAGGCGGGAAAAUACUUAUCAUGAAGCUUACCAUAGGUGCGGUUUGCAAUCACAAUCCUUGCUCCUUUCUCUUUUGCACCAUAAGCAAGUGCCUUCCCAGCACCACCGGCCCCAAUAACAACAAACAGCUUACCAUCUAAUGGUGAAACAGCUGUGCCACUAUCAUUAUGUUUACCUGCCAAGAAACAAUUGAUUUACACAACAACAUCUCAGGAGACGAGUUAUCUACAACAGUAAGUAUAAAUUUUCAGCCGCUAGAUACAACAACUACCUCGUAGCCCAUCCUCAAUAGCAGAAAUAGCACCAACAUAAUCUGUAUUAUAGCCAAUCAACUUCCCAUCUGUUGGUCUUCUUACAACGCAGUUUACAUCUCCUAUUGACUGCGUAACCAAUUCGAAGAAUUAUGAAAGAAAAUAAAAACUCUUCUCAAUACAGAUCCAACAUUAUUGAACAUACAUUGUAACAUAAUGUAAAUUAAUAACCAAAUACCUUAGCCACUGGAUCAACCUCGUCACAACACUUAAGGGCUGCCUCCUUGUGAGGAAUGGUAACGCUGAAAUACAUUAUUAAAGAUCAAACUCUAGUGGUGUGAGAGAUUUAACUAUAACACAAAACAAAAACGAUUGAACUGGAAUGAUGUACUAGAGAUCUGAACGAUGAAAAAGGAGAUAAUAUGCAACAAAUGAAAGAAAGGUAAGAGUUUAAAAGGAUAAUAGGAUGAUAUUCAUAAAAGCGGGAAGAAAAAAAUAGAGCUCCUUGGGCAUUUAAGCAAGGGUUUGAUUGUAUUAGAUCAAUCAAAUACAUGAUUACAUAACCGCUUAAUGUUUCUGUUACACCUUUAGGGCCCAGAUCCCUUGAUUUCAAAAGACUAUGAAUCUACAAAUGCUUCAUGAACUCUUAUCCUUGUAAUUGUUUUAGUUAAAAAUACACAAAAUAAAUUAUAGCGAUAUUAUAUAUAUAUAUAUAUAUAUAUAUAUAUAACUGUUAGGAGUUAGAACAGGGAGAAUAAGUUAGGAAGUUAGAAUAGGGAGAGUUAGUAAGUUAGUUGUUUAUUUGCUUGUUUUUCCUUUAAGUUAGUUGCUUGUGAUCCUUUGUCUGUUUCUUUAAGUUAGUUGCUUGUGAUCCUUUGUCUGUUUCUCUUGUAUAGGAAGUCUACAAAUAAAGACUUCCAUUCCCUUAGAAAUCAUCAAUGGCAUAUCUUUUUUUUUUUUAAAACUCGGAUCUUUGGCAUAUCUUAGUUUUGAAUUAUGAUUGGUCGGUGUAGGAGAGCUUUGCUCUCUUUUUAUUUCCUAUUUUUUAAUAAAAGUGUUUUUCCCUUGGACUCCAAUUCUUGGGUUCCCAACAAUAACUGAGUGCAUAAUAAAUGUAUUAUAAAACAUGUAUACCAACUACAGUCGAUGCCUAGCAGGAAAUAUUAAAGAUUCAAUAACCUUAAAAAGUUAUGUUUGUAAGCUAACAUGAAACAAGCCUUAGAAAUUGCAGAUUUCAAAUCAAACUAACCAUAAAAUUACUAGGAAAAAAAAGGCCUAGCAAGAUUAUAUAUUCUUUUGGAAUUACCUCGACAUCACUUCCUAUGUUUUGAAAUAUUGUGAAGUAGCAAGUAUCCUAAACACUUAUUAGACCAACAUUUCAAUAACCCAACCAACAAAUGGAUAUGCAGUAUAUUAUAGCUUACUUUCCACACAUACCUCAUUAGCAAACCCAAAUAAGAUUUGUAGCAUAGCAUGCAAUGAGAAUUUAGCAUGUAUUACCAUAAUACCAUUUAUCAUAACAUAACCAUACAACACAUGCAAGAAAUGCCAAAAAUUAGAAUACAUAAUUCAAACAAUCUUAAUAAGGAGUUCUAACCUGAAUCCCACAAAAUCUGUUGAUGAGUAAGUCCUUAAAAAAUUGGCAAGAUCAUCCACCAAUAAAAAUACAAAAACUCCAUCAAAACCAAUUGUCUUGAAGGCUUCAUUGAACAAUAUUGGGUGAUUUACUGUGACUGACAGGCUUUCCAACAAUCCCAUAUACUUUUGUAUCAGGUCCAAUUUGUCUGAAAUUGUAUAAAUGCAACAGAUCCUUAAGUGUAGGUUGACCUGGAGCUGAAACUACCCCUGACUCGAGCGUACCAAAAGUAAGAUACCCACCAAAUUUCGCACAAAGUAUACGUGAAAUUAAUCCCCUGUCGCCCAUAACAAGUCCAAUGAAUGGAACCUGAAAUUUCCAACAAUUGUUAUGUUAAAAUUAUUUUUUGUCACAAAACAACCUUAAUGCAGUAAUCGUAAAUUUAAGCAUUACCAGACAAAUAUAAUCGGCUAUUGUAAUGCUGUUUGAAAGGUCAUGUAUAUGAGACUUGAAAUUGGCAACAUAAUAUUUUAAGCAUUAAUAUAUGAGACAUUCAUACAAUCCAAACCUAUUGCAGAUUAUUAUUUAGCAUGUAACGGCGAAGUACAUCAUGAGUUCAUCCUAGCACCAUCAACAUAUUGCUUUAACUGGUACAGGCAAAAAGUUGAUUAAAAUUUGCAUUUGCUUGCAUUGGUCCCUUUAUCUUCGUCUAUACGCAUAUCAAUAACAAUUGUUUUGACCCUCUUCCUCAACUUAGUUGUCUAUCAAUCAGAAAGAAAUUAAGUUCCUAACCAACCUUGAAGUACUUUUACCAUUAUGAUCAUGCAAUAUUUUGAACACACAAAUGUAUAAGGUCCACAGCGCACCAUAACAUAUAAGGGAGAAUGUGUAUGCGAUCAACAUUUUAUUAAAAAUUUCCACUAUCAAACAUAUGUGUCUUACUUGAGAAUGCACCAUAAUUUGAAACAUCCGCGCCACAUCAGUGAUCUCAACGGCAGUCGUUGCAAUCUUUACUAUGUCUGCCCCAGUUGCCUGUAUUCUUGCAACAAGGUUGCCAAGAUCCUCAACUGACGGAGUUUGCUGAUAAUUGUGAGAUGAAACAAUGACCUUGGUUUUAUUGUAUGUCUUCCCACGUAUAGAGUCGUAGAACUGGUGAGCAACCUUUGGAGAUAUGGCAGGAACAGGAAAUGUUGCACUAAGUUUAGAAUUCAGACAUCAGAUAGCAAAUAAUAUGAAGACAGUAUCCAGCUUUAUCAAAUGACAGCUAAAACUUUUUAAACAGUGAUAAUUGUUAACUAUUGAGUCCGCAACCUUUAAUUUCUUGAUAAGUUAAAGGCAUUCAACCAGCAGACAAGUUCCUAAAGAAAUGCUCAAUGCUAAAUCAGAAAAUCCUACUAGCACGAUGCAGAGAUUGAAAUGUUACCAUAAAUCGUGAGAAAAUAACAAAAAGGCAUAUUUGGAUGUGUGUAUAUAUAUAUAUUUUAGUACAUCACGACUAUCAUAUCAACAGAACCAAGUAAGCUUAUAUAAAGGGUGAUGUUAAUAAACACUUAUAUUAAUAAUGAAGAUGUUAUUUGAUUGAAAAAUAAACAAACCUUAAGUUCAACGUCAAUGUAAUCAGCUUCCAAUUCCAUGGCUAACUGUAAUGCAUCCAAGCGUUGAUUUUCAUCACCAUCAUACAUACCACCUUCCCAUUUGGGCCUAAGAAAAUGUAAAAUAUUUUGAUCAUCAUUCAAUUCAAAUUAUCAUGUACUAUGUCACAUGACAUCAAUUAAUCAACAAAAAAAGCAUAAGUACAAGCAAAAUGAAACCUGUAAGUGAACAAGAACGGCAAAGAAUGGUGUUGCUGCAUGAAAGUGUUAAGAUCUUGAGAGGGGUUGAAAGUUUUCAAAGAAUCUAAUCGAAUUUCGACAAGGUCAGCUCCAUUAAGUUUAGCUUUUUGGAUAUCAGCUAUCAUUUUUUGGAUUGUUUCGCCCAUUAUAGGGACGCAGAUUAACAUUGCAUUCAUCCUCGUAACUUAACUAAAAAAUAAAAGAGACAAUUGGAUAUUAAUUAAGUUAAGAGAAUUGAAUUGAAUUGAAUUGAAUUGACGAUAUAAAGAAAAAUGAAAAUGAGUUAGUUAGUUACCGGUGGUAGGUGCUGGCUGCUUUGCACUGUCUGUGUUAUGAAUAUGAGAGUGCAGAGAAAUGAAAGAGUGGUUGGAUUGUGACUUGCUUUGUGAUGAUGGGGGUUGGUGAGUGGGACCAAAUUCAACGGAUGUGGAUUUACUUUCAUAUUAGUCAGGUGAUUUUGAGCCAUGCGAUGAAUCUAACUAACUAUUCAGAUUUUUUUUUCAUAAAAUAAUACGAGGAAAACUGAAAAAAAAACCUGAUCGAGAACCUCUUCCUCAGACUUCGCCCGAACUUGCUAUCGCUAGGAAUGGCGUCUACUGAACUCGCCGUGAAGGUGCGAGACUGAGUGAGAUCGGAAGCGAUGGGAGCGAAGAGUGUUUGUUUUCAUCAACAAAAAGUAAAUUGCUUACAUUUUUCAUCAAAAAAAAUUAAAAUUAAAAUUUUUCCACAAAAAUAAAUUAUACUCUCUCGUACCGAUUCACUUAAAUUGAUAAAAUACAUUGAUACAGUAUAGAUUUAAAAUCCUUCAAAAAAACAAUAAUGAAUCUACGAAGAAACUCACGACAUCCAUGAGUCUCCAACAUUGACGACGGCGUUAAUAUUAGUGAUUGAAUCUUCAUUUGUUCAAAGCUAACCUUUCAACCUAGCACUAGGACGGAAAAUAAAAAGAUACACCUAAUAACAAGCAAAGUCUACGUAGCCUUUUAUUUAGUGAAAUUAGUCUUGUAUUGUUUUAAGAAUGUUUAUUUGAGUUUUAGAAACUUUUUAUGCUUUCUAGUGUCGAUUUGAUGACAUGUCGUGUGAAGAUGUUCAAAGGUAUAACGUUUGGCAGCAUGCUAACGAUGUAAGAAGUUGUAGCGCUAGAAAUUAGUCUGUGGCUAUAGCGUUGAAGAUCUCUUAGUACGGGUCAUGCAUUUGUACGACCUUGGAUCCAUUAUUUGCAAGUCUUAAGGACCAAGUUUGCAUGAAUUGGCUCUAAAAAAUUAGUACAAGGAAGAAGGAAUAUGCUAAUUUAAAAGAGAUAAGACUAACAACUUGUAGAAGAAAGUAUUGAAGGACACAUCUUUACAAUGUAGGAAGUUACAUCGUUACGAUAUAUCAGACUUGGUUUUUAUGCACUAAAGUGGACCCAUAACAUCUUGUGCUUGGAGAUAAAGAUAAGAGAGUCUCGGAUAAUACACAAAAAGGAUAAGGUAUAUUCUUAUGCUUAAUGGUUAAGAAAAAGACCAUAACAUGAAAAAAUACCAUAAGAGCACUAAGGGAUAAGAAAUGAUUUGUAUUGUAAAAGGACAACGAGCUUUCAUUUUCAAGAUGUGCAAGUGGUGUUGUUGUGCUUAAUAGAAUAGAGAUUGGAGGCUACUGCCUCCAAUCAACCCUAACCACCGUCUUUGGAGAUUCAAAUCAUUCUUUUUCAUCGCAUACUUUCAUCCAUUUCAUCUUGAAGGCAUAGUAGUUAAAAUCUUAGAGUCUUAAAGUCAUUAUAGUAAAUUGUUAAGAAAGUGUUGCAAAGAACUCACAUUUAUCCUCGGAGGAUUGUAAUUUGUCUUACGUUAACUCUAAUCUUAUUUAAUGAUUUAGGCAAUUAUGUUUUUAUCUCUUAUCUUUUCCAUUUUUUAUUUGUGUUUAAGUUCAUUAUAAGGUAAUCACUUUUGUGGUUAUAGAAUGAUUAGGUAAUAAUUAUGUUUGCAAGUUUAGUUUGUUAUAACUUUUAAAGUUUCUUUCAAACAAACUGAUUUCACUCAAAAUAUUUGAAAGUAAAACUUGAUCUAUUUUGAUUUCAAUACUUUAGUUCCCUGAGACCGAGAGGGUGUGGGAAUGAAACAUGUUUGUUUAACAUGAGUUAGUCCAUAUGCAUCGAGAGGUGAAGGGAUCAACAUAGACUGAUUUGCACGAGUACUAUAUCUUGGAAGAGGCUUUAUGUGUUGUGAUCCAACUAGAACUCUUGUCAUGGGUCAAAGGCUUGGUAGAAUAGCAUUUUAGUGGGAAAUGUUGAUGAUCUAGCCUAGCAACGUUGCGUAUUAAGGUUAUGUGAUUGUACUCCAAACAAUAGUCUUCACGUACUUAACAGGAAGGUUGGGUGCGCAACACUCCGAGUGGCCACCAAGUUGGCAGGAAACUAUGCAAAGUUAUAGCUCUUUACAUCUUUCCUCAUGAAAUUUUACGACUCUAUAGCUUCCAUAUCAGAUUUGUAGCUUUCUAAAUCUUGCAGACCUCUAUAUUUACCAAUUUAAUUCCUUAACCACAUCUUUUCGCUUAAAUCUCCAAUUCCUUUUUACAUGCUCCAUUUACUUCUAUAUUUUACUACUUUAGUAUAAACUUUGUCUUUGUUAUUCGUCUUUUUGAAUCUCAAAUAAUUUAAACUUAGUAUUUGAAAAUACUUAAAACUUAUCUACGAUAAUCCCUGUGGGAUCGAUACUUUACUUACUCUUAAUUACAUGUUUUUUUAAAAGAAUACUUGCUCUUUAUUACAUGUUGUGACAGUGUAUGCUUGCACUUUGUAUGCAUUGGAGAAUAGAUAACUAUUUUCAUAGCAUCAACACCGCACAAAGACGAUAAAUCAAAACAAGAAGAGUCGUACAAAGACAACGAAAUCACAAAAACAAACGAAAUAAGAUUCAAAGUAUGUGAAAAUUACUUGUUCAACUAAAAAAGAAAAAUUUGGGAGAGAUAAUUUUAAGUCAAAGUUGACUCUAGAUAACCCGUCUUUAAUAGAUCAAAAAGAAAAAAAAACGGUGACAAACCAAGUUUGGGACGGAGGAGAACUUUUUUAUUUUGUUUUAAUUUUGACAUUUAAUUAAUAUUUUAAUAUAGUCUAUUUAAUCUUCAAAUUAUCACUCUUUCAUCAAUAUUUAAUACUAAAAAAAUAUUUAAUUAUAUCACCAUCCAUCAAUUUGGUCAUUCUCGAAAGACUAAAUUGAAGGUGGGAGGAUAGGUUAAAGACCUUUUAGUUUAUUUUAAUAGUUUAAAAAUCAAAUUUAUGAAAUAACGAUAAUUACGUAUUAAAAGUCAUCAUGAAUUUAACUUAGCUUAGUUGGAUUCAAAUUCCGCCUACCACAAAAAACGUAUUUAACAAUUUUCAUCCCGAUCCCUUAUUAAAAAAAAACAAUUUUCAUCUAGAUAAAUUCCACGUAUUGCAUGCUAUCACAUUUUGAAAUAAUGGUAACAAAAAAUAUUGUCAAAUUCCAAAAAAAAAAAUAUUGUCAAAUUAUCUUGUGUGAAUAAUGUGUCAAACAGAGUCAAUUAUAUUAGCAAUUUUUUUUAGAACAAUGAUAUUUAUACAAUCAUUUUAGAAUAUUUUUGUAGACAAAUUUUUUCAUACUCCAAUUAUGUUCUUGUUUUCUUUCUCUAUUAAUUUGAUUUUAGGUCAAUACUUAUUUCUUUGUGUAUCUUUAAGUAAUUUUAAGUUGUCCAAAAGUAAUUUUCAAAUAACAUACCUACAAAAUCUACAUCACAUGGACCAAAUGUUGAAGUGGGUGUUUUUGAAACUUGGGCUGUCCAUGCACCAGACUGUUUUAAGAUAUAGAAUUGCUCUUCUCCCAUCUGAUUUUGCUCAUCCCUGCUGAAAAAUACACCUGCGAGUUAACUCAUGUUGAGAAUACAUCUACGUGAGUUAACUCACGCUUGACUAUUUUGACAAAAAUGAACAAAAACAUAUGGGAAAAGAACUAUUUCCUUCAAGAUAAUGGAUUACACAUCCUAAUAGUCCGGAGCAGCAAACAUUCAUACAUUGAUAGUUGCCCGAUAAAGCUCCACAUUAAAGAUUAAUAUUUUAAAUUAUAAAACAAAAAAAUAAAAUAUGUUCUUUUGGAUUGAGUGAAUGCAUGUUUUCUUUGACGGCCGCUAAUGUGUAUCCAAAAGACGAAUAGUUUAGAAGAAUUUGAAUUCAACUUUCGAAUGAAACAACUACUUUAUUUACCUUGCGGUAGAACUCCUGAUUACCAGAUUUUUUUAAAGAAAAGUAAUUUAAUCACAUCAUUUAACACCAUUUAAUUAUUUUCUGUUUAAAAUUUAUAUAUCCAUGUGAGUGUGUCCAAACAUAUUUUAUUUGAUUAGUGACCAAUUAAAUAUUUCUUCUUGAAUCAAAUGAUUCGCAAUAUAAGAUGACCAAAAGGUAGACUUGCAAGAAAAAUAAAAGUUACUAUAAAAAUUAAUUGGUUCAAAAUAGUUAGGUCAGGUUAGGUUUGAGAAAACUCUUACUUUUUUAAAUAUAUAUUCACAAUUCAUAAUGAAAACAAAAAUUGGUGAGUUCAAUAGUAUUAGGUUCCAACAAAAAUGGAGAAUAGCCAUUGUUUAAUAGAGUUUUGUUUGAUAAUGUAUAACCUUUCCGAAUUUAGUCGGGAGAUAAAUAUAAUAUGACGAAAAAUUGUUUUACCUAAAAUUUAAAUUUUAACUCUCUUGAACAAUUCAUUUUUGGUGAAACUCAUUAACCAUCUGAAUUCAAUUGCUUGGUUAUAUAUGAGUAAAAUGAUCUAAUAUCAUACAUAAAUAUACUUUCCACUAUUUUUUUUUUAACAUCAAAUAUUAUUAAACAACCAGAUCCUUGCUUAAGACGAACAUAUACUAGUGAAUCUGAGAAUACAAACAAAAGACGCCAUAUAUAAGCGGAACACCCGAAAAUAAAUAUAUUUUUCACUAUUAAAUCAAUAAAUUGUGUCAUAUCUCUUUUUUUUUUGAGGGAUCAUAUCUCAAAUUUUUUUUUUUUUUUGGUCAAGUAGCCUAGUGGCUAGAGCUCACACAAUUUAAUUGUGGAGAGUGGAGUGUCCGGGGUUCGAACCCCGGCUCCUGCAUAUAAAAUGCGAUAUCCCUACUAAUUAAACUAAGCUCACGGGGAUGAUCAUAUCUCAAAUUUAAUCGCAAGUUUUAUGGAUUGAAUAACAAAAGUUAAUUUAACAUAAUAUAGAAUUUAUCAGAUUUCUUUUAUGAAGCAAAAAUAUAUACCACUUAUCCACUAUAACGCUGGUUUUAAUUGAAAAUUAAAAGAAAAUUGGUUUUAAUAGAAAAAGAACGUGAAUGAUGAUGAUUAAGAAUAUUGACCCAUUCAUAUCUAAGAUGUAUUUUUUUAUUAAGAGAUCAAAUGAUAAGAGUUAUUAGAAACUCACACGCAUAAAUGAGUCAAGUUUAAAUUUAAUUCUGACUUUUGGUUUAAAGAUUUUGACAUUUUUAUCUCGAGUUAAAAAUUUUAGACUAUUUGUCAAUUAAUUUUUGACUGGUGCUAGUCACACCCUAAAAAAAAUAAGUUACACCCUAGAAUGACUAAUAUACCCCUAAGUUGAACAUAAGUAAACUAAAUUUACAUUAACCUAAAUUGAACAUAAGUAAACUUAAUUUACAUCGAACAUAAGUAAACUAAAUUUACAUUAGCCUAAAUUGAAUAAGUAAACUGAAUUUACAUUAACUGAACAUAAGUAAACUUAAUUUACAUUAACCUAGAUUGAGUAAACUGAAUUUACAAUAACCUUUUAUAUCUAGAUUGAACGUAAGUAAACUAAAUUUACAUUAACCUAGAUUGAACAUAAGUAAACUAAAUUUACAUUAACCUAAAUUGAACAUAAGUAAACUUAAUUUACAUUGACAUGAGUAAACUAAAUUUACAUUAACCUAAAUUGAACAUAAGUAAACUGAAUUUACAUUAACCUAGAUUGAACAUAAGUAAACUGAAUUUACAUUAACCUAGAUUGAAUAAGUAAACUUAAUUUGCAUUAACCUAGAUUGAGUAAACUGAGUUUACACUAACCUCUUAUAUACAUGUAAACUGAAUUUACACUAACCUAGAUUGAACGUAAAGUAAACUAAAUUUACAUUAACCUAGAUUGAACAUAAUAAGUAAACUUAAUUUACAUUGACAUAAAUAAACUAAAUUUACAUUAACCUAAAUUGAACAUAAGUAAACUUAAUUUACACUAACCUAAAUUGAACAUAUCUCAUACCAAAACAAACAAUAAACAAAUAUAAACUCAUUGAAAAUGAAAUUCAUGAAAUUCACUAACCUUUAUGAAUAUAGUACAGAUCAAUAACAAAGAUGUUGAUUCAGAUAUUUGUUGCGUGAUUUGUGGAUGAAAGGGGGUAAGGGUUCAGAAUGAUCAUAAAAGAUGGAUUUUUAAAAAUUUACAUAAAGAGGACAAUUUUGGUAUUAUUGUAAAAUUUUAAAUAAAUUUGGGUGUAACAAGUUUUUUUUGGGGUGUGACUAGCACCAGUCUUAAUUUUUUAAUGUAAAUUGGAUAUCGUCAACGCGUGUAAUUGAGAAAAUUAAUACCUCGAGUUGGACCUAAAUGAACGACAAACUUUUUCUUCAAAAUUCCAAAGUUGUUGCAUUCUGAAAACAAAUUCUAAACCAAAAUUUUGGUUAACUUAGAAAAGACCUAUUUCAUCUCAACUAAACCAUUUUGCAGACAAUCCGUUAGUUGAUUUAAUCAAGGAGAAACAGCAUUGAGAUGCGUUUGGUUGGUUACUUAUUUGGUUUUCAAUUUUCAACUGCUACACGUCGAUGCCGUAAGCAGUGCAUCAAAAUAAUAAUACGUGGGAACCCACACGCAACCUCUCUCAUUAUCUUUCCCGUGCACCGUACCGCAGUAGAUUACUCUAUAUACCCCAUAAGAAACCAAACUCACUCUCACAACUCUCACCGUUCGAUAAACGCUUUUCGGUUCUUGUAAGCUCUCUCCUUCCCUCUCUCUAUUUUUUUUCUCUAAUUCCGUUUAAUUUUUUCAUUAAUCACGAUUAUUAUUCCAUGUUUUCUCUUAAUUAUUAUUUUUGUAGCUCAUGAUUUCGUUGAAUUUCUAUUUCCUCUGAUUUAGGAUAUGGAUUUUAAUAUUUCAUGUUUAUUUGUUUGUCAUGUUGAUUCGUUUGUUUUAUUCCCCUUCCGAAGCUGUUUGGUUGCUGACAAAUUUGUAGGAAAUUUCAGAAACCCUAAAAUUUAAUGUUUUUUUUUUUUGUUUCAGAAAUUUGGAACAUGUUUUUGUCUUUGUUUUUUUUAAUUUGAAAUGUAAAUCACUAAAUUGUAGAAAUAAGGAGUGCAUAACCUAAGCUUAGUUGACUUUUUUGAGUUGCUUAUUGUUUAUCUGAUAGAAAGUUAAGAUUUUUCGUAAUUUUUCUUAGGUUGGUGUCUUUAUAUUUUGUGUUAUAAUUUUGAAACUGUAGAUUCAUUGGUUUACUGUACUGUUUCUAUUUUGGUUUUUUUAAUGCAACAAAGCAAAACAAUGAUGUUAGUUCUUAGAUCUCACCUUAUGGUUUUGUGAUCUUAGCCGUGGUUAAGUUGCUAAUUGUUGUGUGUGGUGUCAUAUGUUAUGUUUUGUUUCAGUGAAGAAGGACCCUUCUCUUUGCGCGUGUCCCGUUCUCUUCUCCAAUCCCCAACUCCACCAUUACGUAGACAUCUGUGAAAUCUGAAUAAAAUAAAUAAUAUGACGGAGGUUAAGCUCUGGAAUGACAAGCGCGAGAGAGAAAUGUAUGACAACUUUGCUGAGCUUUAUGCAAUUAUCAAGGCUACUGAGAGACUUGAGAAAGCUUAUGUUAGAGAUAUAAUAUCACCAAAGGAAUAUGAGAUAGAGUGCCAGAAGCUAAUUGCUCAUUUCAAAACCCUAGCGUCCACCCUUAAGGACACUGUACCUAGCAUUGACAGAUUUGCUGAUACCUAUAGGAUGGAGUGCCCAGCUGCGAUUAACCGUCUUGUGGUAUCUGGUGUGCCUGCUACAGUGGAGCACCGGGCUACUGCAGCAGCCGGUGUGUCCACCUCGGCUGCCACUGUGGCUGAGUGUGUUCAGAAUUUUAUUACAUCGAUGGAUUCCUUGAAACUUAACAUGGUGGCUGUAGAUCAGGUGCAUCCUUUGCUCUCAGAUCUUUAUGGUUCACUGAAUAAAUUGACGAUUUUGCCGCCAGAUUUCGAGGGGAAAAUAAAAAUGAAGGAUUGGAUUGGAAGGUUAUCAAAGAUGGGUGCAGCUGAUGAAUUGACAGAACAACAGGCCAGGCAGCUUCACUUUGAUCUCGAGUCUUCUUACAAUUCCUUUAUGGCAGCUCUGCCCAAUGCUGGCACUUGACUCAGUGGCUUGUAAAUUGAAUCAUAAAUUCCUUUUUCUAUAUUUUUUCCUUUUGGUUGCUAUUAUUGUUGAUUGGAAGAGGAUUUUCUAUUUUGUGACAGCAUUUAUAUAUAUAUUUUAAAGGCCAAAUGCUGGAUAUUUAGAAAUUAUGGCUAUGCUGAUCACUGAAAGUUUAAUUCUAUAUUGUGGAUGAGCUAUGGGCUUUUGUUUUCUUUUCUGCAGUUGUUCGGUUUGAGUUGCUCUGUACUCCUAUAUAGCAAGGGUGAAAUCUUGCUGAAAAUUGAGUUUACAGUUGUUUGUCUUUAUAUCUUUUAUAUUAAUAGAUACUGUAUAUAUAAAUAGACGUAUUUCAACUCUACUCCACAUUGAUACUAUCAUAGAGGACCUGUGUGUGCAUCAAAGCCUCUAAAUUUUAAUUAUGCAGUGAUUGUCCUAAUUUUUUUGUUUUUAGUUGAGAAAAUAGAAUCGAAGUAUGUGCAUGGCGGAUUACUAAUAAUCCCUCCGCAUCAUACUCUGACAUUAAUGUUACCCUAAGAUAACUUCUCUGUUAUACUGGUGCUAGGAUGUUCUACAUGCUAGAUCAGUUAAUAAUACAGGACAUUUUGAUGUUAUGAAUAUCCAAAAUCCGAAGGUCUUCUGCUGUCAAUUGUUAUGCUUAACAAAUUAUUAGCAGGUCUUUUAUGCCUGUACUUUGAUUAUCUUAAUCAAUUAAAAGCACAGAAUGUUGACUACUUCUCUUCUCUUUCCCCUGGUGAUUCAAAUUUCUAGUUGCUAACUGGUUAGGGUCAUUCCUUUAUUGGAACAUGUUUCCAUGACUAUGAGAGUGAUGCUUGAGAUUAGGGUUUCUGCUGCAAACCACUCCUUUUACAGGAUGAUCUCAUUGAUGCUUGAGCCCAGGGGGUUACUGAUGUAUAGAAAUGGCGCUGAUAUAAAUCGUAAUUAUUAUCUAAAUAAUUUUGAAUCCCUGAUUAGUUUAUGAAAUGUAAAUUGGUAUGCUUCAUAUCCAUUUAUGAUGUUCAAAGAUUUGAGAAAUAUGUUGGAUCGUUUGUUCAUGAUUCUACCAAUAAUAUUGAUUCAUGGAUAAAGCAUAUGUAAAAUGGAUGAGUCCUAUGGAGCACAUACACUCAUUGGAUUAGACGUGUCUUGGUGUCGGACACGCGACACGACACUGAUACAUAUAAUUACAUUGAAUUAUAUGAUUUUAUCAAAUUAUUAGCAGUGGCGGCGUGUCCGUAUCCAAUGUCCAUUGACAGAAGAUGUAAACUGAACUAACAUUAAAAAUACAUUUUCUGUUUGUGACUGACAUAGCCUUUGUCUUUUCAUUUAGAAACUGAUGUCCAAAGCAGUUUUUGCAGAUGCAGUGGUAGCUGUAAAACGAGCAAUUUUGUUUUCGUGUUUUGCUACUGCGUGGGCUAGUAUAUCUAAAUAAAGAGAAUACUGUGUAAUGCAGCUUAUGUCAUUAAAGUUCAUGUACCAGAACAGUGACGUAAAGGACCAUCCAAAAAACCAGAAAACAAGUCAGGCUAUACCGAAUUCUGAAUGAACAAGAGACUAGAAUUCAAGAGAAAGCAGGUUUACUUAUUAUGUGGUUUGAUGUUCCAUGCCUGUGGCACAACAGAUAUGAAUUUAGCUGCAAUAAAUAGAAAUGCAUUCAUUGCAUAACGUAUAUAGACUUGAUGAGAAGUCUCACAAAACAAGCAUUGGUCGAAUAUGCAGUGGUCCCCACAGGUUUGCAUUUAUUACAUCUGUUGGGUCAUAGGGACCCUUCUGCAUUUUGGUUUGGAAAAUGUUAACAAGUUUUGGUUUUUCAUGCUUUAUCACUUGCAGACAAGUAUUAAUUAAUCUUUGUUAAUCUGAAAUAUAUUUGAAGUUUAAUUAUGGAGUACACUAACGAUGUAAAAUAAUCUUUUACCAUCAUGUAAGUAUAUUAUAGCUGUUUUUUUAAAAAUAAUUACAUAUACUUAAUUUUUUUAUCAGUAGUUUACAUCGAGUUUUUAUCGAUAGUUUACAUCGAGAAUGAUUAUAGCUGUUUUUUUUUUUUUUUUUAUACAUGUGAACUAGAAAUCGAAUUCUGAACCACUUAUUUAAUGAAGUUAAGUCGUUUAUACCAAGAAGUGAGAGUUUAUAAAAAAAAAAAAAAGAAAGCUAAUUAGGGGUUCCUGUCUGCAAUUUGACUCAACAAAGUGAAUAAAUCAUAAAGUGUGAGUUUAUCUCAAAGAAAAUCGUUAAGUGAGAAUUAAUGAUUGCUAGUUCAAUACUUUCAUAAUUUUUAUGAUAUGCUUGCAAUAUCUAUCAAUUUGUUAAUCAAUGAUCCAUAGGUCAGAGGGCAUGGAUUACUCUUUACUUAAUAAAAUCUAAAACGGAUUUGAUUUAGGAGUAGCAAAACAAGCCCCAUACAUGGAAGUUCCAGGUUUGAGCUUUGCCUUUUUUUUUCUUUCUCUCAACUGAGACAUUCAUUAAUAGGUUUGAAAAACUAUGUGUUAAAUUGACGGGGGUAACUCAACUUGUUUGCGUUGAGAGAUAAGAAGUUAGAGAUCUCGGAUUCACUAACAUUUACUAUUAAAUAAAAGAAACAAUGCACAUACAAACCGAAUACAAAGGGAUUGACUCAAAUUUUAGACCCUCCCUAGAUGAAAGACUAAAAAUCCCAAGAGAGGCUUUGGAAACCAAGAAGUAGUGUACCAUCCGAGGAAAAAACAAGCCAAAAGAGCAAUUGACACAAAAUAAUAAAACCUGAAAAGUACACAAACAAGCCAAAAGAGCUCCGCCUUUAACAGCAUCGUUUUCUAACCCUAAACAUGUUGGUCCUUAACCCUGUAGACACCAACACAUCUAACCUUUUGAUUUCAUGGGCCGACCUACGUAGGUUUACAAUUAAGGAAAUUGCCCUUUAGGCACCUAGUAAGUGCCGAACCGUAACUAACUACCUUCUUAAAAAAAUUACCGUUUGGUACACUUUUUCGAUAUGUGCCUAUAAGCAUCAUCAAAUGCUUUAAGAGCAAUCUUCUACAAUUAAAUGGACUCCUACAAAUGAUGCACAAACUAUGUAGGCCGGUUUGCAGACCAUCAUCCGCACAUCUACCCAACAACUAUGCAUCCAUACUCGUAGUGGUCAAUGGUUGAAUGAUAGUAAAAGAUAGAUUCUCCACGUUUGAUAGAAAAAAAUGGUUGUAAAGAGAGAUGGGUAGAAAAUUAUCAAAGAUGGAUAAGUAAAAGGUAACUUAUAUAUUCAUUGAAAAUUAGAGUAACUUUCAAGAACAUGUUGUGUUUAUAUAACCAACCUUCAAGAACAUGGAAAUCAAAAACCUAAAUCAGAAUAACUUUUUAUUUUGUGCAUCCUUUGGUUCAAGAAGGUCACAUGUUUAAAUAUGAAAUGCCUGAGUAUGAAGUAAGUUCUCAAGUCUCAACCCAACUUGACAUUGUUUACUUGUCCUAGGCAUAAACAUGCUCGUCUUAGAAUGCAAAAUCUAGCCACAAGUAGAGGACAUAAUGCUCUCAAAAUAGGUUUUGAAUUGCAACAUCUCGAUCUUUAUAUUUGUAGAAAGAAUAAACCAUCAAUUUGGUUCUUAAACUAUGAUUUUCUCUCCAAUUUAAUCUCUAAACAAUAGAAAUAUAAUAAUAAUAGUUCCUAUUUUUUUUUAAUCCAUCAAGAUAAUCUUUGAGCUAUCAUUAUCUCUUUCAUAUUUUUAAAAGAACCGAAAAACUAACUUGAUGAUUAACAGUGCAUGUUAAUUCAAUACAACCACAAUUGCGAAAAUCAUGGGAUUAUACAAACCAUCAAGACCUAUAAAGAAUCCACAUCCUUCAUUGGGUUGCAACAUCAAAGGUUUUAUGUCUAAGCUACCACAACACAAUAAUCGUUGAAGUCACAUCAGUCGCAUUUAAUUGCGAUUCUCUAUCAUAUCAAAGAUUACAACAUGAGUGCAAUUUAAAACCUUGCCUACAAUUGUGGUUGUCAACUAAAAAUCUUCUCAAUAGUCUUCUUUUGUGUCUCAUCCCUUCAUUUUAACAAAUGAGGCAAAAGUGAUGUCAAGAGAGGAAACAAAAGCACAACAACUAGAACAAUACCAAGAAUUAUGGCAUAACAUGUCCAUUUCCUAGAAUUCUUUUGUUGCACUCUAGCUUCCUGAAGUUGUUCUGUCCCUCUUCUUACAAAAGAACUUGCAUGUGCAACAUGGCUCUCAAUAUUAUUAAGUUGUUGUCCUUGAGACUCUACCAAAGUUGCCAUAUCCAAAAACACUUGAUGCAACUCAAUCAAAUUCUUCUCAAUUUCCUUAACAGCAUCAUGUCUUUCUUGAAUUUCCGAAAUAGUAUCCAUUAUUUGACCCCUACCUUGUUCUUGAAUUGCCCUUUGCAUGAAAUUUUCACUUUCUCCACUUGAUAUCAAAUUUUCUAUAGUUUCUUCAUCCGCUUUCUCUCCCGUUAUUGUAAAAUACCUCCGUUCCACCGUUUCCUUAUACUCAAGUUGCAUUCUUGCUCUCAAACCUUGAAAAUCAUCCAUCAUAUCUUUAAGUUUCUUCCCUAAACCACUAACCACUGAAGUUCUAGUUCUAUCUGCUGAUGAACCUGGACCACACCCUGGAAUGUUUCUAUUAGCUGCAUUUGAACGAUCCAAUGCUUCGAGUUUUCCUUUAAUAAUUUUGACACGUUUAAGGACUUGUUCAACAUCUUUGUCCAUUCGUGCUCGAAGUUCUUUCAUGGUUUUAGCAUUGUGCACGGUUUUACUUUCUUCAUUAGCCUCUUUCAAUUUCCUAUACAAUUGUUCAAUUGUUUUCAUGUCCUCUUUUAUAUUCUCAACAUCUUCGAAGAAUUUAUCGAGAUUAACAGUUUCUCGAUUCCCUGCCUCGACAUCAUCAAGGUAAGCUUGUUCCUUCAAAUCGGUGUACUUUUUGAAGGAAUUUGAAAACAAGUCGUUCAUUUUUGCGGAUUUAUUAACAAUGACUAACACCCUUCUUGUAAUAAAUCUUGGUUUAUUUUGUACUUGGUAAAUCUAGCAACAGAAAUCUCAUGAGAUCAUGAUAUGAUUGUUAUCUAACAUAAUGGUAAAUACUUUGAACAAAAAAAAAUAAUAAAUCAUGGUACAUGCUUCUUCAUGUGACAAAAAUCUUGAGGUAGAAGCUAGAAGGUGACGAAAAACAAGUAAUUCUCACCAAGGAAAGGUAAUAAUAGAAGUCAAUGGUAACUAUGAAACAAGGAUCAGCUAAAUUAACUUGAUGCUAAUUAUCAAACAAGGGUGUUAGAUCUCUUAGAUACGCCAAAGAUUACUCGCAUAAUAGCAAAUGGCACUAUUGAUUCUAAAUGGUACCUUUAAUUGGAUUUGGUUUAUGACUUGGUCAUCUUUUUUUUUUUUUUUCUUUCUAUCCUCUGGCUCUCACAUUCUUGCUCCUAUUAUUUUUAGCAUAAACUAAAAACUUCCUCCUUCAUCCGAGCGUGUAUUUGAUUUAAAUAAUAUUCUAAAGAUGCUUGUUCGCAUUUUUUUCUUGAUAUAUUUAUUAAAAAUGAUGACAACUAAACACUUGUUUUUUUUUUUUUAAUAAAUUAUCGCACUUUCAAAAAAGUUCAAGAUUUUUCUCCAAGUUACAAAAUAAAAUUUUAUUUUUAAUCCAAAAAAAGGAAAAUUGUGUUCAAAUCUUAAAUGCAUUUUUUGUUUCAAUUUAUGUUUUCCCUGACCAUCAAUUAAGUUAGAAGGAUUUUUAUGUUUUCCCCCAUGGGCUUGAUAGUAUAAAAAGCCAAAUCAUAGCUAAUAAACCAUUAAUAAAUUAUAGCAUAUUUCAAAAAAGUGUUUACUUUACCGCUUAAAAUUAAGGUGGUAAAUAAAAAAGUGUUUUUUUUUUUUUUUUUUAAGAAAUAAAAAAGUGUUUAUGACACAAUAUAGUAACUUACACAUAUUUUCUCUUUCUUGCUUCCGAAUUCAAAUUUAAUUUUACGGAUAAAUGUUUGAUGAUCAUUAUAAAUCAAUGAAAACGGAGAAACAAAGCUCCCUCUUUUGAUUUUGAGUUGAGGCGAGGAUAACUGCAUGCAGAAUCGAACCUAAACAUAAAUCAAAUAAUCGAUCAAUUCUUUGUUAUGUCUAGGCAUUGGUUAAUCCCUGCUUUUUGUUCUUUGUUUUGGACUAUGUAACAUUUUGUAUCUUGUAGCAGAAUUCUAGGCACAUCUUGUGCUUGGAAUAUGCUACGUUGUGUUAAUAUAAUUCCAUUUUGAUGUAUUCAAAAAAAAAAAUCGAUAAAUUUUGUUUAAUAACAAGAAAUAAUAAUAUAAUUAUAAAUCCUAGUUUUUUUUGUGACAUAGUCCGGUGAAUAGAAUUUAUUUUGUAAAGUGAAUAAAAGAGGUAUUCAAAGUUCGAACCCAGACCACUGUGUAUAACAAUACAUUAUCUCAAUUGAGUUAUACUCACAUAGAUCUAUAAGUCUAACAUUUGUUUACUCGAAAAAUAAAAAUAAACCAAAGUUUGUUGAAAAAAGAAUAAUGAUGAAAAUAUUUUAUGAUUUAAAAACCGAAUUGUUGUAAUAAAAAAACAUAAAUGAUUAACGUGUUAAAUUUAUUUAUUUAUAACAAAAUAUAGGAGGGUUUUUGUACACGGCUGAGUCUGAGUCUGAGUGUGUUCGUUCCAUCGUUGGUUGUGGUUGAUUGCGGCUGAACCCUUGAAACCAUGGACGAAGAAGCAGCAAUAUCAGAGCGCAAAACUGGUCACGUUAAGAAGAGAGCUUUAAAGAACAAAGCUUUGGCCAUUUCUUUCGACGAGAAAGAUCUCAAAGAUUAUGUCACUGGCUUUCACAAACGCAAGAAGAAGAGAAGAAAAGAAGCCAACAAACAACAAGAAGAAGCUUUAAGACGCAAACGCAAUGAGGAA
rnacentral:lncRNA from 1 species